GUUUUUUUUUUUUCUAUUUCAGGCUAGACUUGUUAUUUCUUUUGAAUUUUCCUUGCGGUUAGGAUAGCCUUGGUAUUGUUAUUCGAUGCACUAGGUCUCAUUUUUGCUUUUAUUAUGCCUUUUUUCUUGGGUAACUGCUAUUUUUUAGGCGAGGUGUGCACUAUUGAAACCGCACUGCCACAAGUAGACUCAUGUUCGGAAAUUUCGAUUACAACUGAUCACCGUGAUAUCCUGCGGGUAUCAGCAACAUAGGGGUGACAACGCUCGUCCUUGAUGCCAACAUAGAUCGCAUCCCUUCUCGGCAGCAUUAGAUCUUUGCGUCAAGGGCACAACGUGUCAUCUAGUUAAAUGAAGGAUUGGCCAUUACACUAUCGUGGUAGAUUUGCUGCAACACCCCUCUGUAGCGGUCGAUGUCGAGGGUGAUAUUCUGGCCGUUGAGGAAGAUCGCCCACGUCAUACCAUACCCCUGCCUGUGUAUGGAGGCAAUGUCGGUGAAGACCGCGUGGUCCCUCGGGUAUAUGUACUUGAGUGUCGUCUCAUCGGCGGUCGGCUCGUACUGGACGUACCGGAGCCCCAUAUCAGCCGAUGGCGCACCAAAGGCAGCAUUGGCCCCCCAGCUCAUGUCGCCCCACGGGACGACCUGCACCAACGUCGCGUUGCGCGGGAGGAACACCAGGUUGGUGAGCCCCGCACCAUGCACACCCACCAUCACGUCGCACGAGUUCACAACCUCUGCGAACCGGGCCAUGUCGCUCAUGGCCUCUGGAGCCCCCAACACCACCUCAAAACCGAUAUCAGUGGCAGUUGCAACGGCCUCUACCUCAUUAGCGAAUGCCCUUGAUUUGCGGCGCAACACCAUGAGGAGACGAGGCCUGUUGCCGGAGGUCCGGUUUACGGGGGUAGCCCACUCACGCUUCAGCGAGUAGACCGACCGGAGAAAGCUUCGGAAGUCCGUCAUCGUGUAGCCCUUGCGGGAGAGAGCAGGGAUGAUCCCCAUCUCCUUAUGGCUCUCGGUGCCGACGUGCACCGAUGGGAAGCAACGCACCUUGUCGUCGGCGUCAAAGUCGAUGACCGGGUACAUGGAGAGCGCGGCGAGGAUGUCUUGAAACUUGUCAACCCACUUGUGGUUGUAGUCGGUGACCACAAGCUGGACGCGGCCAUCGUACUCCCGCACAGUGUUGAAGAGAGGGAUGAGACCGUCUGUCAUGGCGUGAAAAAAAUUGUUGAGGAAGCCGCCGGUGGAGAAGACCACCGCGGGGACGUCGUGUGUCACCGUGCACUGUGGCGCAUCCAGCCCGCUCCAGCAGAUGGUCACCUCCCUGAUGGCGUGCAUCGUUCCUUCCUCCGACUUGCGCGGGUAAGGGUGGAUCUUCACUGUUCCAUUCUCUGGCCAGUAACUGUCAUCAGACGAUGAGACCACGUACACGGUGGCCGAUUUGCCAUGCAUACGGACGUCGCCUUGCAUGGCACAUAUGUCCAUGCGUUCACUGCUGAAGUCGCAGAUUGACUUGCUUCUUGGUGCUACCACAUCUGUAUCAUGCAUAAAGUGUUACUCCCCUUGUUCAUAAACAUAUAUGAUGUUUUGGAUAUUUUGAUAUGGUCUACUUACAUACUGAAAUGAGUCUUUACAAAAAAAACCAAGCUUAUAUGAGUGAACAAACAAGUAAAAUGCGUCUAUAUAAAUCCGAAUCAGAAAAAAUGUAGAACAUCUUACAUUUGUGAAUGGAGGAAGUAAUGAUUAGUCUAGUUAAGAACGUCUCUUAGUAAUUUUUUGCCACUCUUGGGAAAUUUUCAUUUGCCGUUGGAUUAUUCCAUUAUGGGCAGCCUUUUAUUAUAUACUCUACUAGCCAUCAAUUCGUGCACCGGUCCAUACAUGUAUUCUGUCAAUUAUAUGGUUACUAUUAGAGGUAUACUGUUUUGGAGGUGAAAAGUAAAAAGAAUUAAUGUUUAGAAGAUUUUUAAGUAGAACUUUCCUAAUAAACAUGUUCAGGUCUUAUACAUGUUUGAAACUUUUCAUGAACAAAAGAAAGAUGUUGUGAUCUGGACAAAAAAAAGUUCUAAACACAGGCUACUUUAUAAUGUGAAAUAUGUCCGUCUACUUCACAACAUAUGUUGUUUUUUUGGUAAAAAAACACUAAAUUGUCAUAAAAUACAGACAUGUUUGUUUUAAAAAGAAAUAUACUUUUCUUUACCAUUUUUGCUUCUUUCUUACUUAGUGUUAGUCCGGGAUCUUGUUGUUUGUGCUCCGAAAGAAAUAUCUGAAUUAUUAUCAUAUUAAUUUCAUAUGGAUAUUCGAUAUACGGUGGAUAAUUAUCUAUCUUUAUCUCUCUGAAGUUUACGUAUUACACAUUGGGCCAAAAAAGAUUGAAUGGUCAUACUAUUGUACUCCCUCCGUCCGGAAAUACUUAUCCUUGAAAUGGAUAAAAUGAAUGUAUCUGUAACUAAAAUAAAUCAUUUCAAGGACAAGUAUUUUCGGACUGAGGGAGUAUCUAUUUCCGCACAGCAAAUUUUUAUUUAUCUGCUUAGUGAUGCCACCUCACAUAUAUAUCUUUCCAUCCUACUAGUACUAGAAGUUAGUAUAUCUAGCGGAAUCUCGUGUCACUAUUUCCCAUUUAUUUGCAAAUAUGUCUUUUUCAAGAUCAUGAGGCCGAUAUGAUGUACUUCCUCCGUCCGGAAAUACUUGUUCUCCUCCGUCCGGAAAUACUUGUCCUCGAAAUAGAUAGAAUGGAUGUAUCUAUAACUAACAUAAAUCUAGAUACAACUAUUUCGAGAACAAGUAUUUCCGGACAGAGGGAGUAAAAUUUGACCCGGCGGAAACAUUGCAUACCUUCGCGGGUUCUAUUAACCUCGCUUCUUUUUGGGACUAUUGACCAUGCACGGAGCUUGUGCCAUCGACGUGUCCACAUGUGAGCACCUUCUUCUUAGUUACUGUUUGGCCGAUUUCUGUUAACAAUAUGUGUUCCAACUUAUAUGAAAUAUAAAACUCGGACUACUGGAGUCUAUGGUUUAUGGAUGUGCUUGCACUUUGUUAGCAAUCUUCAUCUUAAUGUAAUUUUGGAUUUGGUGCUUAUAUUGAUUUUUUAGACUAAUUUGGAAAAUAUCCUAGAAUUGUUUGUGUAUGUUUUGAAGAAAGCUUACUACAUGCAUCUUAUGUGUAUAUUUAUGAUUAAGAUUGAUGCAGCACGCAUGCAUAGAAAUGCAUUUUGACUGGGUAGACUGGGUACACGGUGAUUUUUCAAAGAAAAAAUAUAUCAAUUAGUGCACGUACCUUUUUUUUUAGAAAAGGAGGAUGACCCCCGGCCUCUGCAUCUGGGCGAUGCAUACGGCCACUUUAUUAAUUAUUCUCACAAGACCUUACAAAGGCAUACAACAGCAAGACUAAAACCACCAUCUAAGCAACAACUGUCGCUACACAUAUCCAAUUGAUGAAGGGGCGCAGAUAGUCUAGGCCUAAUACCAAACAGACAUCGCAGCCAAACCUAAACAUCUAAGACCUGAGGUCCCAACUAGAACGCCUGCCGGGUAUGGGGCACCUACCAGUCCGGCGCACUCCUCAACCAGGACGCCUGCCGGGUAUGAGGCCGCCGAAGCCACCUGCCACCAAUCCAUCUUCAGUGUUGUACUGCUGCAUCAACCUUGUCUGGUCUAACUGCCGUCGACGCCACCACGACACCAGGCAGCGCCACCUCACUGCGCGAGUUCAUCUCCGCGCAUCGGACUCCGAAUCUCCACAGCGCCACGCCGCCAAGAUCCGCCGCCAUCAAUGUAUAAGAUGAAGUACCACUCCAUCAAAGAAACCGUCCUCUGUUCCCCGAGCCCGUGUGUACCUCCAUGAAUGACGCCCCCAAGGGGGAAACGACACCAGAGUGUCGCCAUCAUCCGAUCAACUGAUCUAGGGUUUCCCCCGGAGGUAGCAGAGAAUGACCUUGAACUUCUUCACGGCGAUGCCUUUAAGAAGGGAACGACACAGACAGCGCCGCCCCCGCCGGCCUUUGCAGUAGUCAAAAACAAGUUUUCACUCAGAUCUGUUCGAAGAAACUUCAUCUCUCGUGAACGGGCCACCUCGUCCUGCGACGUCCCCGGGAGCGGGAUCCCAAGAUCCGCCGCAACCGAUGCCGCCACAAGGACCCACCACCCAACCGUCAUCCCUGAAGGGGACGACGCCACCAUCGUGCUCAGAUCCGGCAUCACGCCAACGCCUUCGGCCGCCCCCAAUCAGAUCGGUGAAGGAGGAUAGCCAACGCGAGCGCCCACCACCGCUUAGGGCCGCCGGACGACGCCCAAGCCCGACCACCCGAAGGAGAACCGAUCUGGGGCGGGAAACCCCAGAUCCGCCGCCGCCAGCCCCCGCAGCGCCGCCGGGAUCCCAUCGGGCCGCCGCCCGAGCGCGCCAACUCCGCCUCCAUGUUGUACGCCCAGGGACGCCGAUGCAUCUCAGCUAGAGGAUCCCCUCAUGAAGAAAGGAGGAAGGCCCGCCGUCCGCCGUCCGCCGGGCGAGCUUCGCUCGCCAGCCUCCUUCGGCGGCGGCGGGGAAGAAGGGGAGGAGGGAGGUCGAGGGCGGUGGCGGUUGGGGACACAGAUCUCGGUGAAAGAGAGGACGAAGGUAGAGAUUCUGCUUGCGUACAGAUGCAUUGGUCCAACUCAAUAAAAAAGGAUAGUCUAGGAUUCUGCUUUUCGAGGUACAAACACAUAUGUACUGCCAGAACCUAGCGCGGCGCACAAAUAUACUCUAUCUCACAUAUAAUCUUAGUCGCCGAAUUCAAAUUGUCUGGUUAUUUAUGGCAUGUUUUCUAGGAUUAACAUGGUGGCUUUAAAGAUGCCUCUAAUUAGUACUCCCUCCGUUUCUUUAUAUAAGGUAUAUUUGUUUUUAUAAAAUUUCAGAAUGUACUGCGCAUUUCUUCUACCUCAUAAUAUCCUUGUUAGCCCUCUAGAAAAAGGGGAAAGUAUCUCUUUUCUCAUUGUCUAUAUCUCUCUUUGUAGCAAAAGAAGGAAAGUAUCUCUCUGACGAUUGCAUGUAUCUCAUACUUUUCUCGACUAACUGAUUUACAUGCCACUAACAAAUAAAUUUGCCAAGGUUAAUUUCGUCCUAACAUGUCUAUAAUUUCAUGCCUUGGUCACGAUGCCAAAAAUGAUACACAUCUAUCUAUACCAAUAUAAAAAGACCCAGUGGGGCAGAUCCAACAGAUCUUGGCCAUCCAUUAGCAUUAAUCCGACAGUCCUUAUUGUCCUAAUGGUGAGCAACUAAACACGUUUAACAAUAAACACGUUUACUGCUAAUCAAUCAUUUCUCUCCCUGAUUCCCUUCCUUACGUGCAUCUUUGACAAGAAUGGAAACUGCCACAAUGAACUGCCCCAUGAUGUACAUAAGGAAGGGAAUCAGGCGGUGCUUAUCUGUUGGAUUAGUACAAUUUUCAAUACAUUUGUGGGAAGAGAUGGACCUGCCGUGAUGGUGUUUACACAAACAAUUUCUUUUGAUACUACUUUUGUAAAUAAAAGCAGGUAUAUUUUCAAACCGGAUUAAGAUUACACGUGCGUUGCACGUGCGCUAGUUACAUAAAGGAACGGAGGGACUAACUAGGAGUAACUUCUAUAAUAUGUUGGUUGUAUUAGUCUGUUAGUUGUAUUAGUUUGUUUGCUACCAAAUUCUAGUAUCGCCAACAGUAACAUGUUUUCUCGUUGCCACCAAAGCGCCACAACCAAAUUAUCAAGAGAUGCAAAUACCCAAUGCUUGGAUAUGCAGUAUAAAACUUGGUACGUACCUGAUUUUAUUGAAGAACCAUCUAAUCCCGUGUUCAUUGCUAGGAGCCCCUUUUCGUUUUGGAGAUCUGCAACAGAUUACAAUAUAUUCAAUUUAGUCAGACUUGACUUCCGAACAAACUGACUGAAACUGUGUGUUCUGCGGAGAACAAAUAAUCAUUUACCUCUGUUGGCAUCAAGGACGGCGCCGGGUGUCUCGCCGGUUGAUGCCGGAGAAGGCGGUGCUUCGACAGCGGCAACAGAAUUAAAUGAAGGAUUGGCCAUUACACUAUCGUGGUAGAUUUGCUGCAACACCCCUCUGUAGCGGUCGAUGUCGAGGGUGAUAUUCUGGCCGUUGAGGAAGAUCGCCCACGUCAUACCAUACCCCUGCCUGUGUAUGGAGGCAAUGUCGGUGAAGACCGCGUGGUCCCUCGGGUAUAUGUACUUGAGUGUCGUCUCCUCGGCGGUUGGCUCGUACUGGACGUACCGGAGCCCCAUAUCAGCCGACGGUGCACCAAAGGCAGCAUUGGACCCCCAGCUCAUGUCGCCCCACGGGACGACCUGCACCAACGUCGCGUUGCGUGGGAGGAACACCAUGUUGGUGAGCCCCGCACCAUGCACACCUACCAUCACGUCGCACGAGUUCACAACCUCAGCGAACCGGACCAUGUCGCUCAUGGCCUCCGGGGCCCCCAACACCACCUCAAAACCAAUAUCUGUGGCAGCUGCGACGGCCUCCGCCUCAUUCGCGAAUGCCCUUGACUUGCGGCGCAACACCAUGAGGAGACGAGGCCUGUCGCCGGUGGUCCGGUUUACGGGGGUCGCCCACUCACGCUUCAGCGAGUAGACCGACCUGAGAAAGCUUCGGAAGUCCGUCAUCGUGUAGCCCUUGCGGGAGAGAGCAGGGAUGAUCCCCAUCUCCUUAUGGCUCUCGGUGCCGACGUGCACCGAUGGGAAGCAACGCACCUUGUCGUCGGCGUCAAAGUCGAUGACCGGGUACAUGGAGAGCGCGGCGAGAAUGCGUUGGAACUUGUCGACCCACUUGCGGUUGUAGUCAGUGAUCACAAGCUGGACGCGGCCAUCAUACUCCCGCACAGUGUUGAAGAGAGGGAUGAGACCAUCGGUCAUGGCGUGGAAAAAGUUGUUGAGGAAGCCACCGGUGGAGAAGACCACCGCGGGGACGUCGUGUGUCACCAUGCACUGUGGCGCAUCCAGCCCGCUCCAGCGGAUGGUCACCUCCCGGAUAGCGUGCAUCGUUCCUUCCUCCGACUUGCGCGGGUACGGGUGGAUCUUCACCGUUCCAUUCUCUGGCCGGUAACUGUCAUCAGACGCUGAGACCACGUACACAGUGGCAGAUUUGCCAUGCAUACGGACGUCGCCUUGCAUGGCACAUAUGUCCAUGCGUUCACUGCUGAAGUUGCAGAUUGACUUGCUUCUUGGUGCUGCCACAUCUGUACCUAUAAGAUGCACAAAAGAGUUAUUAAUUACGUGUAGUAGAAAGAAACUUCUUUUUUAGUUUUUAUCUUGCCACUCUUAGAGAGAUCUCAGUUGCUGUUGGAUUAUUCCAUUGGUACUGUAAAACUAACACAAUGUCUGUUAGCAUUAGUUUGCUUAGGCAGUUUUAACAACCGUCCUGCCGAGAAAAGGUAACUAAUUACCUUGUCGACGGGCGAUGUCGCCUUGACUUUUGUUCGCACUGACGACGUCGCCGGGCGUCUCGUCGCGUGAUGCCGGAGAAGGUGGUGCCUCAACGGCCGCACUGGGCGUCUGCUCGCUUGAUGCGGGAGAAGGUGGUGCAUGGCCGACGAAAUCUGAAUUAAAUGAAGGAUCAACCCAUAUUACUGUUAGCGCCAAUUUGAUGAAUUAGAUAGAGAACGACCAAACUCAUGGGCAGCGUACAUACUAGUACUGUAAUAGAUAUGUUAAGUAUUUAGAGUCAUAUUUUGACCAUGAUUUUAACUAAUAAAAGAAAAAUUUGUACAUAGUAAAAAUAAUAUUAUCGAAAACUAUGUUCAAAUACUAUUCCAGCGAUGUAAUGUUUGACGACAUGCAUUAACAUUUUUUAGUUAAAUCUAUGGUUAAAAUUUAGCAUAAAAUAUGAAGGAGACCAAUAAACCAGAAAGGAGAAAGGAGGUAGUACACGUCAACUCAUAGUAUGGGCCAAGAGUUGGAGUAAUGAGUCUUUGGGACGAUGAAUCAAAGAUGGUGGUGCACGCGUAUAGAUCAGAUGAACACAUGAAACCUAAAGAAUUGUUGCUUGUAAUUGAGGGGACCUACAAAGAGAUGUUGCUUGUAACUGAGGAACCCACGGCAUGUGAUCGGAGUUGAGCACGACCAAGACAAUGAGGGGAAGCAGAAGCCACACGAGAGCCCUUGCUGCUGCCCUGCCCACAAGCUUCUUACCCCCCUCCUUCUUCAUCUUGUACACUGGCUUGUUCACUUAGCUCCAGUGAACAAUGGUGGACUUGGGAGCUAGCUAGCUAGUCGUAUAUAUGUGCAUGGGAUUUAGUACUCGACUACUGUAGUACGAGUGAAGCGUGGUGACGCGAUCACCUUCGUGAACGGGCUUCUCAUACUAAUCCAGACUGGGUCUCUAGUCUUUUAGUUGACUUUAACGUCGGGUGUCAUAAUGGCAUAACUGCGCUAAUCGAGCAUACUAUACUGCCAUUAGCAUAUAUGUCUAGUAUAUACGCUACUCCCAUACUGUCUCUCUCUCUCCAUCCAUUUGUACAGGGUCUAUACUCUAGAGUGGGUCUUAAGUCUUUGAGUUGACCUCGACCUUGGCUGUCUUAAUGGCACCACUGCGCUAAUCGAGCAUACUCGCAUUAGCAUAUACUCCCUCGGUUCCUUUGAACAAGUCGCUUUUUUUUUUGCCAUUUAGCCAAGGAGAGGACAGGAACGUGGAAUCUUUCCUAUAUUGCCCAUGAAAAUCGGAUCUCCCGUUACGCAUUAAUCUCUCGUGUCCUCGAUCGGUUCUCUCGCAAGUACUACCUCUGUAUGUGUGUAUAUUAGUCGCCAUCGUAUUUGACUAGCAAAAUGUUAAUGCAUGUCAUCAUAAUUUAUGUUGUUGGAUUCAGUAUUUGAAUGUUGUUUUCAAUGAUAUUGUUUUGGUGAAGUAUAAGUUAUAUCUUAUUAGUUAAAAUUAUUGUCAAAAUAUGGCCCAAAUUACAAAGGAAUGGAGUACUCUCUGCGUUCCAUAAUGUAGUGUGUAUAGACUUUUUUUCAAAAGUCAAACAUUACAAACAUUGACCAUGUUUAUAGACAAAAAUAUGUACAUUCAAAACACCAGAUGCAUAUAAUUGGAUACAUCAUCCGUUGUAUCUUCAUGUUGUAUAUGUGUAGAAUUGUAUAUACAAAUAGUUUUCUAACUCGAUCAAUGUUUGCUUAGUUUGACUUUUCACAAAAUCUAUAUGCAUUAUAUUACUCCAUCCGUUUUUAUUUACUCCGCAUAUUAGCUUUGGUCAAAGUUAAGCUUUAUAAUCUUUGACAAAGUUUAUAGACAAAAAUAUUAACAUGUACAAUUACAAAUCAAUGCCGUUAGAUUCAUUAUUGAACAUACUUUCGCAUCAUAUAGAUUUGCUAUCGUAAAUAUUUAUAUUCAUUCCUAUAAACUUGGUCAAACUUUACAAAGUUUGACUUCGGUCAACUCUAAUAUGGAGAGUAAAUAAAAACGGAGGGAGUAUGAAACAAAGAGAGUACUUGUAAUAAGCUACUACUAGUGUGAAGCAUAAUAUUUUCUCCGUUCCAAAAUAGAUGACUCAAUUUUGUACUAACAACUUCAUCUAUUUUGAUGACUCAGUUUUGUACUAACAACUUCAUCUAUUUCGGAGUAAAUGAUUAUAAAAGUUGAAGUUGAGUGUGCAUUGUCUCGGGAUAGAUGCACUGGGCCUGUUGCAUGUCAGAUGAUUGUCAGGCCAUAUGUGGUUAAACUUUCUUCCGGGCAUUAAUGAUAUGCUACUGUAGGUCAGACGGUAUGAAAUCAUUUUAUCCGGUUGUGCCGGUGUGUGCAUGUGAGAUGUGACCUUGUGGAGCAGAAAAGACAAAGAGGAAGUCUUAGCGCCGGAUUGGUAGCAAUAAGUCACCUGACUUAUAAGUCAAGUGACUUAAAACCAGUGACUUAUAAUUCACGUCUGUUUGGUUAUUACCUGACUUAUAAGUCACCUGAUACACCUUUCCCCACCAAUCCACAUCAUGCAGGUGGUGAGGCCCAUGCAAAAGGGGGUGACUUAUAAGUUUUAAGUUGGGAUGGAGCAACUUAUGACUUAUAAGUUGGGGUGACUUAUAAGUCAGGUAUGUUUGGCAAAAUAAGUCACUUUUUUCACUUUUCGACUUAUAAACCAAACAGGCCCUUAUCUCCUUUGCCAUAGCCAGCCAAUCGGAUUUGUCAACCAAAAUAAUUUCUGACUACUUGUACUAUUGUUCUUGUACUUGCACAUAAAUAAGAAAUACUUUUCAAUAAGAAAUGUAAUAUUUCCCCGACUAUUGAUGAUCGUCGGCGAGCAGGCUCACAUGAUGCCACACCCAUGGCCUUGACGCCGAUCUGCCCUGACAGAGAAGUGAUGUCCCCCACCACCACCAACGACCACCUCGCUCGCAAGGAACCACAGUCACAUCCCAGGCCGAGCCUGGCCCCACCUCACCUACCUGGAGCACAACUCCGAUCCACCUCUAGCCCAGAUCUAGCCUGCCCAAGCUAGAACCAUAGAUCCUCGCCUCUCCCGUCGCGCUUGCGACCGGCACCACCGGCACCCACCCAACCCUGUGCACCGUCGGCUUGGAUCCAGAAGAAAGGAGAUGGCCACCGUCCCCUGAACGGCCUACUAGACACCGGCUGCCGCACCACCACAGUCACGACAAGCUUGCCCCGCCCCGUCAUGACCAAGAGCAGCCGCACGAGGAGCAGGGAACCACCGCCACCAUUGGCCACCACUGGCGGAACGCGGCACAACAUCCACCAGCCCGCGCCGCCUGCCGGCCAGAUCCGGCCGCUGCAGCCCAGGUGCGCUCCACCCUUCAGUCCUUCACGAAGCCCAACACACCACUGCCUCACCAGCAUGCCAAGGGCAUGCCGGUGAGCCGCCAUGCCACAGAACCCCACGCCAGCACCGCGCUCAGGCCCAAGGGGACCGCCCCGUGCCACCGCUUCCCGCGAGAGGAAGGAGAACGGGGCCUAGCGGUGGAGAUCGAGAGGACCCUAGCCGUCGGAUUUGUCAACAAAAAAUUUCAAUAAAAAAGACAUACAUGACCUCGCAUAUAUACUACUAUUAGAGGGGGAAAAAUCAGGAUGACGUCUAGCAGAUACAAACAGAGAGAAUGGCAUUUUAACAUAUAUUACUUAUAGGAUCCUCGUCGUCAACUUCUUCAUACCACUAUAAGUCACUAUCUUCUUCUUUCUUCACACACUAUCUCUAUCAUACAAAUCCAAGCUCACAAUGCGCCCUUCCACACACACUUUGAUCUAAGGGCAUGAAUCGUUGCAACACCACAAUACUGUAUAGUAGAACCGGCAACAUGAGCUGUUGCAACGCCCCUCCCUGACUCGAGAGCAUGACAAAAUGAUGGUUAAUUACUUGCCGAUAAUACAAUAAGUUUCGAAUAGAAUACGCAAAUUCAUGUUACCAAGUGAGAACUUAGCAUAAUGUUAUACUUGACCAGGCAAAACUAUGCACAACACAUAAGAGUCUUCGUCGUAUUUUGUGUCAAAAUUUGACCAUAUAUUUGACAAGCUAAAUGUUUAUGCAUGAGACCAAAAUUUAUAUUGUUUGAUCAUAUCUGAAUGUAAUUUCCAAUGAUAUUGUUUUUCCUAUAUAUAACUUAUAUUUCGGUAGCUAAAAUUAUGGUCAAAAUAUGACCCAAAUUAUGAAAGAAACUAGUGUAUCAGGACGGGGUAGUUGUAAAUAAGGUAGUGUGAACCACAAUAAAAGAUUGAGAAAAUUGCAACUGAGUGCGCAUUGUCUCCGGACAGAUGCAUUGGGCCUGUUGCAUGUCAGAUGAUUAACAGGCCAUGCAAGUCACCAACUUAUAAGUCGAAAAGUGCAAAAAGUGACUUAUUUUGCCAAACAGCCCCAACUUAUGAGUCACCCAACUUAUAAGUCAUAAGUUGCUCCACCCCAACUUAAAACUUAUAAGUCACCUCCUUUUGCAUGGGUCCCACCACCUGCAUGAUGUUGAUUGGUGUGGGAAGGUGUGGGAAGGUAACUUAUAAGUCGGGUGACAACCAAACGGGUGUGACUUAUAAGUCACUGGUUUUAAGUCACCUGACUUAUAAGUUAGGGGACUUAUUGAAACCAAAAAGGGCCUAAACUUUCUUCCGAGCAUUAAUGAUAUGCAUGCCAUAUGCUACUGUAGGUCAGACUGUAUGAGACCAUUUUAUCCGGUUGUGCCGCUAUGUGCAUGUGAUCUUGUGCAGCAGAAAAGACAAAGAGGAAGUCUUAUCUCCUUCUCAUACCCAGCCCAUCGUUUUGUCAACCAAAACAAUUUCUGGCUACUUGUACUAUUGUUCUUGUACUCACACACAAACGAGAAGAAGAAAAAAUGAGAAAUACUUUCAGUAAAACAGAUAUACAUGACAUGGCAUAUACACUACUAUUAGAGAACAAGAUCAGCGUGACAUCUAGCAAAUGCAAACAGAGAGAAUGGCGUCUUAACAAUCACCUGCAAAAAUGUCUAUGCGUUGCGACGGGAGGAAAAAACAACAUAUGCAUCUAGCCCGAAAAGCAUAGCUCAAGGGCCCCUACUGAUCCACGUCCUUGAUUUCAACAUGGUGCCUCGCCCGUGUUGCCCAUUAUUCUCCUCUCGCCGAUAUUGGUUGCAAUUUACAACUAAUCACAAUGUGUUUCAAUAUGAGUCAAGGGGAUGAGCUCGGGCAUCACACGACACCGAUGCCAUUGAACAACACAAGCGCAAUCAAAUGUUAACAAAUCUCGUCGAGCUUGGAGUCAAGGCCACCAUCCGUUCAUACAUAUCGUUCCUCAUACUACCUCUUGCUUUUGACUUGAAAUGUCAUAGACUUGUUCCACCGACGGAGGACGGGUCCCUCACAUGUCAUGACCACUUAGCGUCUGAUCGUCUCCUAAUGGGCGCCAAUUUGUCACACACCACAUGCAUAUAACUCGAGGCAUGGGGCCUAGGAUCGAAACUUCUCUGCAUGACUUGGUUUCUUCGCCGUUCCUCCUUCCCUUGAUGCCAACAAAACCAAAACUCAAAUCAGUCGUUUACUCCAUUUGAGCCUUGUUGAGGCAUAGACCCAUUGGGAGGAAGCCCAACGGCUCACAUUUUCAUAGUCCAAGAAUAGACUGCACAUUUCAGACUUCAGACUCGAGAUGUUUCACAUCGAAACUCACAUUGACCUCCGUGACAAAGAAAAAAGCAAAAAAAAAUAUAAUGAAAUCAAGCAUGUCGUUAGUUUUGUGGAGUAUAAAAACUGAUUAAUUACAACACACCAUGAAUCACAUACAACAAAUAGAUGAUUAGCAUGUUUGCUACCACAAAUGAUUUGCAGUGUAACACUAAGAUACAAACAACAAUAGAUGUCCCAGCCUUCUCUUAACAAUCAAAAUUUUUGCAUCGAACAAAGGCAUCAUUAAUUUCUCAAGUAACAUCAGCUUUUAAAAGUUUUGUACAACCAUUUUUUUCUGUUCCAAUAUUCUGACAACAUGACUACAUUUUCAGGUUGAUGUGUACAUGCAACCAAUGGGGGCAAAAGAAAUGGUUCUCCAAGCAAGAGAUUGCGAGCAUACAUGGGUUUAUAUUACCUGCAGAAAUUCCCCAUAAUUAAACAUUUCUUCUUUCAUGAAUGCAAUAAACCUGAUGAAUUUCUUAAAAAUUCAGUCAUUGACUUCACAUGGAAUCAAACUGCACAUGUACUUUCUUUAAAAAAACUGCAUAUGGAAAAUGAAUGGUUCCUAAAGUGUUGGACCAGACAUGUUCGAUUGAAUUGUGUUCAGAACUGGAUCAACUUAUAAACGAGAUAAUUACGGCUAUAGUCCUUGUACUCUCCGACGCGUAACAUGAUGGUCAUCGAACUUGCGGAAUGCUCCACUACUAUCCUUAAAUACGAAAAUAUGGUCCACGUCUCCCACUACGCCAUACAUCUAGACUCUGAUACCACAUCAGCAUACAGUAGAAAUGUGGGUCCCACAUGUCAGUACGCGAGAGAGAAAUAGUAUAACUCAAAAACAUAAACUGGGAGCGGUUGCGUUCGAACCUGAGAGCCCAGGACAUCUGGCAACGUGAGCGAGCCACAAGAGCUACAUAUGCUACAUGUAUACUAGUGGUCUAUAAAGCUUAAUGUAGAAAAUAAAAUUGGGUCGGCAUGUACACUUGUACAGGUAAACAUGAACUUUUUCUGAAAUUUAUGUGAAUUAAAAAAUGCAAGAAAAUUUAUGUGUCUUCAUUCAGGACCACAAGCACGCACAAUUGUUGUGCAUCCUUAUUGUUUAUUUUCUCAAAUGCAAAAUCAUUUUUAAAAUUAACAAUAUGUAUUCUUAAUAAUGUUUAUAGUAUUUUUAGGAAGUGGUUAUACUUUUGCCCAAUUAUAUGCCCAGCUAUCAGUUUUCUUAUUGUUUUCUUCCAAGUUCGUGUUUAUGUUUCCUUUUUUAUCUUUUUAUUUAAAAAUGAAAUGCAAGAAAAGUUUACAAUAAUUAGAAAUACAUAAUUAUCGUGUAUCUGAAAUCUUCAUUUCAUUUUAUUAUUAGUUAAAUAAAAUAGGUAAACAUGAACUUUUUCAAAUUUAUAUACAUUUAAAAAUAAUAAAAAUUACAUAUCUUCAUUCAGGACCAUAUAUAUUCUUUUUUGUAAAUACACAGUUACUUAAAAAGUUGACAACAUGUAUUAAAAAUUAUUGUGUAAUCCUAAUAAAUUUUAGAAAUAUAUUAAGAAAAUUCAACUUGUAUUUAGAAAAUCAACAUGUUUCUUGAAAUGCAAGAAUGAGUUUACGCAAUAAUGUUUUAAUACACGACGAACAUGUUUUGAAAUAAACAUUGUCAAUUUUUUGAAUGCAUGACAAAAAUUUAGGAAAAAUACAUCUAGAGGUUUGUAAUACACAUGAGACAUUUUCCUAAAUCAUUCUGAACAUUUUUUCAAAUUGCACAAACACUUUAUUUACCUUUCAUGGUAAUUGUAAAACUUCCUUACAUNNNNNNNNNNNNNNNNNNNNNNNNNNNNNNNNNNNNNNNNNNNNNNNNNNNNNNNNNNNNNNNNNNNNNNNNNNNNNNNNNNNNNNNNNNNNNNNNNNNNNNNNNNNNNNNNNNNNNNNNNNNNNNNNNNNNNNNNNNNNNNNNNNNNNNNNNNNNNNNNNNNNNNNNNNNNNNNNNNNNNNNNNNNNNNNNNNNNNNNNNNNNNNNNNNNNNNNNNNNNNNNNNNNNNNNNNNNNNNNNNNNNNNNNNNNNNNNNNNNNNNNNNNNNNNNNNNNNNNNNNNNNNNNNNNNNNNNNNNNNNNNNNNNNNNNNNNNNNNNNNNNNNNNNNNNNNNNNNNNNNNNNNNNNNNNACUAUAUAUAUUUUUUACAAUCCUAUCUAGUUAAGGUCUAAUUAGCUAGGAUUGUAAAAAAAAUAUGAAGUGACGAUUCUGGAAGAAGCUGGGGAGGGGGGCGAUUCUGGGAGAAUCGCCUAAAAGAACUGGCCCUAUAUAUAGGUGGUUAGCUUGUGCGCACAUUACAAUCAGCGAGCAGAGGUGUCAGCUUCAAACCUCUGUCCUGCAAUUUAUUUUGCUAUUUUUUCUCUCUCACUGUACUGACAUGUGGGCCUGUGCUUCUACUGUAUGCUGACAUGGCACCAGACUGAGCUGUAGGCGUAUCGUGAGACGUAGUCAGGACCGUUUUGGAGCGUAUCCACAUAUUUGAGGACCGUAGUGGAGCAUUUUACGAGUUUGAGGACUGUCGUGUUACAGGCCAAAGAGUACAGAGACUGUACCUGUAACUAUCUCCUUACAAACUGAAAAGUAGGUUGCUUCUAUUGUCUUAAGGAAACAUGAGGAGAACAUAACAAAACGCAUAUAGCUACGUGAAAAUUAGUUGACUUUCCUAACUGAUCUAUGGAUUUCACUGAGAAGCCAAGAAUAUUGGUUUGCUCUCUGUUGUGCAGUUUUUUUUUUGACGCAUAUAUACAAGAAUAAUGAGACUUAUCUACUAAUUCACACGUCCAUGAAACCUUUGCUUGGUCCUCUAAUUCACUUGAUGAAGUUAGAAUUCUUUUGAAUGAAUAAAAUCUGUCGGGACAACUUCCUAUCAGCCGGUCUAAUUGCACUCUUGUCACCACGACGAACUCACACCCAACUGGCAGUUGAAGCAUAUAUAUAUGUUCAGUAAACCAGGUGAUUACCACCAUCCAUGUUUUUCUAGCAUAUUUAUGGGCAUCCAAGGUUUUAUGCCUGUUCAUCAAGAAGAUGCGCAUGGACAGAUAUCUUGAUGAACUGAAGCAGUGGCCAUAGCAGAAGGAGUGCUGAACACUGAACAAAAACAUUAUCGAUGCAGUAUUCGGUCAAAGCUUUCUGUCGCCAACCAGGGAGAGCCAUAACUCAUGCAAAGUGCUAGUCUGGAAUUCACAUUCAUCCACCCCUGUCUGCUAUUGUAACUGCAUGAAUAGCCAUCACCUCACCAAGAUGUACUCCAUGCAAUUCUGUAGGCCCUAGCAAGGUUAGAACUUGGAAAUUGGGAUCAAAGCUUGGUGAGUUAGACAAACCUCUCACAGCUAAUAAAUGUCCCUAUGAUCUUGUAUUCAUAAUCUAAGUAGUCCCUCCGUCCAGAUUUACACGUUGGAGAAAUGGUGUAUCUAAACCUAUUUUUAAUUCUAGACACAUCCAUUUGUUUUCAUUUCUACGAUAAGUAAUUCAAGACAGACGGAGGUAGUAGAAACAAAGCAGCCAAGACAAAAAUCGCAUGCGCUUAAUCUCGGACGUAACGGACUGGUAGAUUUUCCGUUGAGGAAGGUUGCACAUAGCAUGUCGAACCUUGGCGGCGUGUGGAUGGAGAGGGGGUCAGUGAAGACGGCGUGGUCGCUCAGGUAUACGUCCUGAAGUGUCAUCUCCGGCGUACUCACAUCACGAUGUACAAUGAAUGCAUUUGUGAGGGCCAGAGCCAUUGCUGAGCCAGUGUGAGGUAUGGAAUCGACGUGUUAUUACAUUUUUGAAAAGAAAAUCAAAAACCUCGAACGUAAUAUACUUAUGAUGUGAUGGUAACGGAGCGGUAGAUGUGUUGCAGGACCCCUGUGAAGCGGUGGAUGUCGAGGGUGACGUUCUGCCCGUUGAGGAAGGUCUCCCACAACAUGUUGAAUCCCUGCUUGUGCAGGGAGACGGGAUCCGUGAACACGGUGUGGUUCCUCGGGUACACGUCCUUGAGCGUGGUCUCCUCGGCGGUGGUCUCGUACUCGACGUAGCGAAGCCCCAUGGGAGCCACCGGCUCGCCGUAGGAGGUCCAGGCCGGCCACUUCAUCUCGCCCCAAGGGACGAUCUGCACCACCGUGCCGUUGCGCGGGAGGAACACCAUGUUGCUCAGCCCCGCGCCGUGCACGCCCACCAGCACGUCGCACGAGUUCACCGUCCCCGCGAACUUGCCCAGGUCGCGCACAACCUCCGGCCCCGCGGCUACCACCUCGAAGCCAACCUCAGUGGCAGCUGCUAUAACUUCCGCCUCGUUCGUCAGCGCCCUCGAGUUCCUCCGCAGCACCAUGACGAGACGAGGCCUUCCACUCUUUAUGGGGGUCACCCACUCACGCUUCAGAGAGUAAGCCGACCGGAGCAGGCCGCGAAAACCCAUCGUCGUGUAGCCCUUGCCGGAGAGAGCCGAGUCAAUCCCUAGCUCCUUAUGGCUCUCCGUUCCGACAUGCACCGACGGGAAGCAGCGCACCUCGUUGUCGGCGUCGAAGUCGAUGAUCGGGUAGAUGGAGAGCAUGGAGAGGGCGUGGCGGUACUUGGCGAUCCAUUUGCGGUCGUAGUUUGUGGCCACGAGCCGGACGCGGCCAUCGUACUCCCGCGCCGUGUUGUAGAGAGGCAUGAUGAUGUCGGUAAUGGCGUGGAAGAUGUUGACGCCGUAGCCGCCGGUGGAGAAGACCACCGCUGGGACGUCGUAGGUCACCGUGCACCGCGGCGCACCCGGUCCCGGUGGGGCUCUCCAACGGAUGGUCACCUCACGGACCAGCUGCAUCGUCGGUGUCUCCCACUUGCGCGGGUACGGGCGGAUCGUGAUCGUCCCAUUGUCUGGCCGAUUGUCGUCAGACGCUGAGACGACGUAGACAGUGGCGGUUUUGCCGUGCAGACGGACGUCACCUUGCAUGGCACACAUGUUGGUGCGAUAGCUGCUGAAGUUGCAACUUAACUUGCUCCUUGGUGCGGCUACAUCAGCAUCUGCAUGCACACAAUAAUUAUAACGUAAUUGGUUAAAAACUUCUCUUUACAUACAUUUUUCUGUAACUCUUGGAGGAAUUAAAUUUGCCACUGAAUUCUACCAUUAUGGGCUAUCCUCCUUUUGGAUGAAAAAAACCAUAUUGGUACUGUACAACCAACGAAAAGCCUGAUAUCAUUAGUUUGGUUUGCUACCAAAUUCUAGUAUCGCCAGCAAAUUAAAUGUACUCUUUGCAUGUUAGCUGAGUGGCCCAAACAAAAUAUGAAUUCAAAUAAUGAUUCAAUAUUUUUUUCGCAAAAUAAUAAUAAUAAUUCAAUAUAUAUUCAGUAUACUACUUUGUAUCUACCUGAUUUUAUCAAAGAACCAUCCAUUCCCACGUUCGUGACGAGGAACCCCUUCCCAUUUUUGAGAUCUACAAUAGAUAACAACUAUCAUCAAUACCAGUUUUCCCAAAGCCUGGAUCUAUUCCAUUUCAUUAUAAUACCAUACCACAAAACUUAAAUCAUACUGUAAGGGUUUACCACUGAAUGGUAGCACUCCCUCAGCUCCAAAUUAAAUGAAGUUCAAGCUUUGUGCUAGCUAAAAUUCCCUAUUGUUUGGCCAAGUCUGCAGAUAAAUGUGCUAAUAUCUACACCAUCAAAUAAAUAUAGUACACAAACAUAUUUUAUGAUGAAAAGUAAUUUUGGCAUUGUAAAUGUUGUAUACUAGUACACAAACAUAUUUUAUGAUAAAAAAUACAUUUUCAUAUGCUAUACUCGGGGGUGGAGCUUGACAGAGAUUGUUGAAGGGCCAAAAAGACAACUUAAUUGUGCUUAAUCUUGAGUAAUCUUUAAAAUUUAAGCCUAAGUAACAAUUCAACCUACUCUAAGGAAUUUUCUAGGGUAGGGGGGCGUGACUCAGUUUGUUAGACUGCCCAAGUGCCCAUAGUCUGAGUAAUUUACUUAUGUGACAAUAAUUUAAUGAGAAGAGAUAUGUUAUGAGUAAAAAAGACAAGAUGAGUUUACAACCUAAUAAAUAAAGUAUACUACACAUAUAUUACUCCCCACUAUAGAGAUAGUAGCAUAUGCUUACUAACAUAUGCAUGUUACUAGUCUAAGUUAAUCGCGCUAUGCCUAGUCUUACUAGGAAAGCUCCGCAGCUGACUAUAUAUAUUAAGGUUGUACUAAAUCAGCGACGAUUACCAUGGAUUAGAGAGAGUAGCACAUACUAAAUCCAGAAGUUGGAAUCAUUUGGACAGAAACACAUGCGUGCACUGCACAUUAGUCCUCAGAUCUAUUGUGCAGGGAAGAGAAAGGUAAUUAAUUAGUUACCUCUGUUUGCAUCGACGACCUUGUCGGGCGUCUCGUCGCCCGACGCCGGAGAAGAAGGGGGUGCUUCGACGACCGGAUCUGAAUUCAUCGACCACAGGGCAAAUAAUAUUGUUGUUAGUGCCAAAUCGAGGAUUUAAUUAAAGAAGUGUGUUUUGUGGCAUACCAUGUGCAGCUUUUGACUUGGCUACUAGUUGUUGCCGCGGCUGCCAUAUCGCACCCUCUACACCAGCUUCGCCAAUGCUGGUCUCUGCAACUGCAAAAAACAAUGGAACGCAAGUCAUCUCCACCUCUUGUUUUACAUACGCAUUGUGACCGCAAAUACUCCCUCCGUCCCAAAAUAAGUGUCUCAACUUUGUACUAGCUCUAGUACAAAUUUGUACUAAGCUCAAGACACUUAUUUUGGGACGGAGGGAGUAUAUGUUAUGGGAGCGCCUAUUUAUCAGUUAAUUGAAAAAACAAUUGUGUCAGUCUAAUUGUUAGGCGGUUGGAUCGCCAUCCAACGGCCAGUAUCAGGCCAUACUGUUCAUCUUGAACCUCUCUUUCUUCCCCAUCCCGCACAACUGCCUGCCUGCUCUGCUCCAUCCCAUCCGUGUGCCUCUCCUCCCCCCAUGCAUUGAUGUACAUGUUGUCGCCGCGACCAUCCCUCUAAGCCCUGCCAAUAUGAACCAACACCGACGGCUCCCGCACUCCCAGACUCGCACUCGUGAACCUGCUUCCUUAGCUUUGCCUGGGACGCCGUAGCUUGCACCGUCGUCCCCGUCUCCAGCGGGGUCCUAGCUCGGCCUCGCCGGGGACGACGCUUGUCACUGCGCCUCUCACGUUUCCCACACCUUCGGUCUUGUUUGAAUUCGAUUGAUUGACGCCAACAAAAAUUUCAGGCACCUGGCGAUUAGCAAAACCACAAAUAUAUACAAACUCGACGGUCGCAAUAGAUGAACCAGCAAUACGCGCUCAAGAAUACUACUAACAUAAAAACCGAUUGAUUUCUCGAAAAGGUACGCUCAAGGUAACACUAAAUGUUGACCCGGCCGGGUCGAUCUUGUCAAUCUAAAGGUGAGGGAUCGAUCUUGUCAAGCAUUAUCUUCUCCAUAAAAACGAUCUAUGGACCGGAUUCUACUAUAUAUCAAGAGAUAAAUGGAACAUAAACUUAAAAAUAUAUCGUGAUGCGACAAAAUUAAGCUCAAGCAUAUUUCUUGUUGGCGAGUCGUCGGUGGUAAUUUAGAGAGAGCACUUACUGUGAACGACCUGCUGCGGCAUGAAGUCGGACUUGAGGACGGCGAGGACGAGGAGAGGAAGCAGGAGACACGCGACGGCGGCGGCUCCUCCUCCGCUCACAAGCUUCUUACCGCUCUCGUUCCUCCCGCCCCUUUUCAUCUCGCUCGCUCGCUCGCUCUUGUGCGUGCGCACGUACCUACUGGCUUGAUCACUUGGUAGCUUGCUUGCUCCAGUGAAUAAUGGUGGGCACUGAUCUUCACUGCUAGUAGUAGUAUAGCAUACUCCUCCUACUUAUGGGUAUCUCUUGCGAGUGAAGCAUACUGUCAAACGCGCAUUAAUGCGCGAGCUUAGUUUAAUCCAAAGGUCUUGAGGUUGACCUUCCAGCAGUACCGUCAGUCACUAACUCCCAUGCACACAGCAUGUGCAUUUGCUCUAAUGGUGAACAUCGAACAGAGAGCCCUUUGCUAAACUAAGCAUACCAUGGACAGAGCGCCAUGGACUACCGGCGCGUGCAUCGGCUCCUCUCACACACCUUCUCAGCGUUGAUAUCAACUACCCNNNNNNNNNNNNNNNNNNNNNNNNNNNNNNNNNNNNNNNNNNNNNNNNNNNNNNNNNNNNNNNNNNNNNNNNNNNNNNNNNNNNNNNNNNNNNNNNNNNNNNNNNNNNNNNNNNNNNNNNNNNNNNNNNNNNNNNNNNNNNNNNNNNNNNNNNNNNNNNNNNNNNNNNNNNNNNNNNNNNNNNNNNNNNNNNNNNNNNNNNNNNNNNNNNNNNNNNNNNNNNNNNNNNNNNNNNNNNNNNNNNNNNNNNNNNNNNNNNNNNNNNNNNNNNNNNNNNNNNNNNNNNNNNNNNNNNNNNNNNNNNNNNNNNNNNNNNNNNNNNNNNNNNNNNNNNNNAAAAAAAAAGUUGAUAUCAACUGUGGCAGCACCAUCUCCGGAUCCAGAUCGUGCUGGCGUGCUGCAAUAUUCACUUGUUAUAACCAACGCUUCUUCCAUAUAAAUAUCGGAGUAGUAUCUUUUAAACAGUACAGUGAUCCACAAUGGAAGAUUCCCGUACGAAGUUCGAGUAAAAUUUUAUUUGUUUCCGUUCCGAUGUGAUAUCAUCGAAUAACAUAGACGAAUGGUUGGUUGGCUUGCGAUUUCAACUUUAUUGGAGGUUUUGUCAUUCAAGUUUCCGAGUCGGAUCCAAGGGGCGGACAGGGUUCCGGUCCCUGACCUGACCGAGCCGUCCUUUGGACCAGGCCAGAAUGGCCAGCCGAACGGUCUGGAUUUUAGGUGGCGGUUCAGACCAGGCUAGACCGGGUGGCUCGCUGGAUUUUGCCACCGUGCGUGCCGUAGUGCCGCCACUAGAGCUCCCAGUGCUGACUGUGCGUGUGUGUGCAGCUCGCCGUGCUACUGUACUGCUAGGUGUGGCACGUGCGAGUGUAGGUUCUCUGCCGGUGCUCCAUCGUCACAUCGGAACGGAAACAAAUAAAAUUUAUAUGGAACUGUGCAUGCCAUCGUCACAGCUCGCCAUGAUCGCUGUGCAUGCGUGGUCACCGACGCAAUUGGACAUUGUCGGGAGAGGCCCAGAGGCAUGCAGGAGGGAGGCCACACCCUCUUGAGUGCUGUGGGUGGCUGCGGUCGACGUCAAGGUCGAGAUCGGUGGCGGUGCGCGCACGACAGCCAUGGCGCACACGGCGGCAAGAGGCUACAGAGGACGGGAAGGAGAGGGGAAACAACCACAUGCUCACCAUGAGCAUGUGAAGAGGUCGGCGAGGCCGGGGAGGCGGGGACGGUGGCCGAUGAUGGUCAUGGUCAGAGAAGACAGGAUGCGUGCUGUCGUCUCUAUGGUGUUCUAGACCAAUUCAUUGCAUAGGGAGGACGAUGGCGAUAUGGCGGUGCUCAAGGACAUGGUGGUUCAACCGGGAGCUGGAACGGCGGUGGUUUUCGCCCUGCAGCUUCGGUCCAGCUCGGUCGGACCGGACCAGUGGGCCUUGUGAAGAACCGGACUGGUUUCUUGAGUGAACCAUUCGGUCCGGUCUAGAGCGGGCCACAAACGGGCUGAAAAGCCCGCUUCGCUCCGUCCAGCCUUAGUCUGAUCCACGGUGGCCUUUUUUUUCCACCAUCACUUGCAUAGUCAAUCUCUCUCAAAAUGGGGUGCACCCACACGUGCCCUCUCUGAUGGGCCGGCCCGUCAGAUUGACGUGGUGGCUCGUAGCACGCAGCUGCCCAGCGUCAUUCGAUCGGGUACUUUUUUAAUAAGUAAAUUGAAAAAAGUUCACCCAUUCAAUAAAAGUUCAUCAAUUUCGAAAAAGUUCACAAAUUGAAAAAAAUACAUAAAUUUCAAAAAAGUGUAUCGAUUUCAAGAAAAUGUUUGCAUACCAGGCACCGGGCUGCCCUUUUAUUGUUUACUCUACCAGGUAUUCUUGGUUGAUUCUUGUUAUAUCUUGGGCAUAUCUGGUUACCGGUCUGUCAUACGGUAGGAUGGAGACGGUCAUCAACUCACAUCUGGAGAUAGAUUUACAUACGAGUUGUACGAAGUACAGUACAUGAUUGUGUUAUUUUACCUGUCCGUUUAGGACAUGAUUCGACCAUGUUUUUUUUUACGUAUAUAUAUGUACAUGCAUAGCCACAAGUAGGCUUUCAACACCCCAACGUGAGGUUGUUGAGAGAUCAAUCAAUUAACAACGACCAGCCGACGGCAAGCUAGUUGGUCAUGUCGUCGUUCGCCGGCGUAUCCAUCUUGGACGACGGCAAGUUGUGCACUUCCACCAUGACCUUCGCUGACACCAGCUCGGCCUGCUUGUGGUCCAAGCUAGGUUACGCUCGUAUCAAGAAAGAGACGCCCACUGGUCAGAGCCUCACCUCUCGUGAUUUCGGGGUAGGAGGCCAUCUGAAUGAUUUAGGAAUAUACUUGCCACGAUUGAGCUUUUCCAUUGCAUGUCAAUAUCUCUAUUCCUAAUGGAGCAGUUGGUAGUCUCGCUUCCAGGUUUUUUUUCGUCCCACCUUUCAUGGUUUUUUUUGGUACCUCCUCUCACUUCAUCGGUUUAUUUUUGCGUCACCCUCUCACACAACAAAAGAAAUCUGAAUAGAUCAGAACUUUCCAUACUAGCGCAACUUAUUUAGUAAUGUAGAAUCAAUUACGAAAAAUCUCUAAAGAUCAAAUCUAAAUUAAUUAACCUUACCUUAAAUCAGUCAAUCACAUUAAUUAGAAAAUAAAUAAUUGAUUUUCAGAAAAAUCGCUCAAUCACGUUAACCUUACCUUAACUCAAUCUCCAAACAAAGGAAACAAUACAUCGAGGGAGCAGUAAAUAAACUCCCUUUCUUAUUACAUGUAUAUGAUCUUCCCUUUCCUCUCCGUUGUCGAGCGUUCUUGAUUCUCGAGGUCGAUGCUUGUGCCGUGUCACUGGGUCGUGACGGUGCCGGAGGACGAGGACAGCGAGGCCGGGUGCCGCGGCACCGCGUUGGCCGCGGCCGGUGAAGGGGGCGAAGAAGGGCGGCUUCCUUGGCCGUGGCUGUGGCCGUGGCCCUGGGAGUUGGUGCGGUGGAAGCGGCACUUGGAGGACCCGUCGUGGGUGGCCGGCGCGCAGACGCACUUGGAAGCGGGCCCGUGGCCCGCGCCGGACGGCGCCGACGCCGACCUGGGCCACCUCCUCCGCGUAUUCUUGGAGCCGUAGUCUCGCUUCCAGGUUUUUUUUCGUCCCACCUCCCAUGGUUUUUUUGGUACCUCCUCCCACCUUCGCUGGUUUUUUUUCAUAUAUUUUUUUUCGUCCCCUCCCCCCACUUCAUCGGUUUAUUUUCGCGUCACCCUCUCACACAACGAAAGAAAUCUGAAUAGAUCAGAACUUUCCGUACUAGCGCAACUUAUUUAGUAAUGUAGAAUCAAUCACGAAAAAUCUCUAAAGAUCAAAUCUAAAUUAAUUAACCUUACCUUAAAUCAGUCAAUCACAUUAAUUAGAAAACAAAUAAUUGAUUUUCAGAAAAAUCGCUCAAUCACAUUAACCUUACCUUAACUCAAUCUCCAAACAAAGAAAACAAUGCAUCGAGGUAGCAGUAAAUAAACUCCCUUUCUUAUUACAUGUAUAUGAUCUUCCCUUUCCUCUCCGUUGUCGAGCGUUCUUGAUUCUCGAGGCCGAUGCUUGGGCCGUGUCACUGGGUCGUGACGGUGCCGGAGGACGAGGACAGCGAGGCCGGGUGCCGCGGCACCGCGUUGGCCGCGGCCGGUGAAGGGGGCGAAGAAGGGCGGCUUCCCUGGCCGUGGCUGUGGCCGUGGCCCUGGGAGUUGGUGCGGUGGAAGCGGCACUUGGAGGACCCGUCGUGGGUGGCCGGCACGCAGACGCACUUGGAAGCGGGGCCGUGGCCCGCCGGACGGCGCCGACGUCGACUCGGGCCACCUCCUCCGCGUAUUUUUGGAGCUGUGGCUGGCUGAUUUACAUGAAUUAUUUCCCUCAGUUGUGGUGGCAAAAAUACACAUAAUCCAUAUUGUUAUGCACUACCGUGUGUGUGUGUGUGUGAAAUAGAUGGAUUAUGGUCCCGUACUCGAUAAGAUGGAUAUGUGUGUGUGUUAGAGAGAGAGGGAGAGGGGGAGAGAGAGUGAGAAAGUGGGAGGGAGAGAGUGCGUGUGUGCGAGGAUUUGAUGGUAAAAAAGGUCGCCAAUGUCACUUGAUAUGUAUGGAAUAUUAAUAUUGAACUCUUAAAGUUAAUGUGGCCCCGUUGCAACGCACGGGCGUUCUUCUAGUAUACACAGAAUUACAAUUCUAACCAUAAAUGAGAGAUCACCAUAAUAUCGAUACUCCUCGAUUUAGGGGAUUAGGAGAUAUGUCACGUUACGUGACAUAUUAGUCUAACACUCCCCCGCACACUAGUAGAAAAAGGGCCUAUAGUCCCGGUUGGUGAGGGCCUUUAGUCCCGGUUCAUGAACUGGGACUAAAGUGUCGGUACUAAUGCCCUGACCCUUUAGUCCUGGUUCAAUCCAGAACCGGGACAGAUGGGCCUCCAUGUGGCCUGUCCGCUGAGCCUAGGCAGGAGGGCCUUUGGUCCCGGUUGGUGGCACCAACCGGGACCAAUAGGCAUCCACGCGUCAGCAUUUCUAUGGCUGGGGUUUUNNNNNNNNNNNNNNNNNNNNNNNNNNNNNNNNNNNNNNNNNNNNNNNNNNNNNNNNNNNNNNNNNNNNNNNNNNNNNNNNNNNNNNNNNNNNNNNNNNNNNNNNNNNNNNNNNNNNNNNNNNNNNNNNNNNNNNNNNNNNNNNNNNNGGGGGGUUAAUUUAGGUGUUUCAUAUAUUGUGCUAUAGCUAGCUAAUUAAUAGAGAGAAGUGUCCUCUCUUUUGUCCGUGCUUGGUCGACGCUACGUACCAUACAUACGUAUAGAGAGGACUAGCUAGACACACUAGCUAGCUAGUAAGCAAACAGAAGAUCGUCAUGAACAUAUAUGCAUACAGAGAGAAGUGAUAUCGACCACCUCUCCUUCUCCGAGAGAUUGGUCGAACAACAAGUUCUCGUAUAUCUAUCCGACACUACCGGCUACAUAUAUACAAUAAUUAUCUUUUACAAAUAUANNNNNNNNNNNNNNNNNNNNNNNNNNNNNNNNNNNNNNNNNNNNNNNNNNNNNNNNNNNNNNNNNNNNNNNNNNNNNNNNNNNNNNNNNNNNNNNNNNNNNNNNNNNNNNNNNNNNNNNNNNNNNNNNNNNNNNNNNNNNNNNNNNNNNNNNNNNNNNNNNNNNNNNNNNNNNNNNNNNNNNNNNNNNNNNNNNNNNNNNNNNNNNNNNNNNNNNNNNNNNNNNNNNNNNNNNNNNNNNNNNNNNNNNNNNNNNNNNNNNNNNNNNNNNNNNNNNNNNNNNNNNNNNNNNNNNNNNNNNNNNNNNNNNNNNNNNNNNNNNNNNNNNNNNNNNNNNNNNNNNNNNNNNNNNNNNNNNNNNNNNNNNNNNNNNNNNNNNNNNNNNNNNNNNNNNNNNNNNNNNNNNNNNNNNNNNNNNNNNNNNNNNNNNNNNNNNNNNNNNNNNNNNNNNNNNNNNNNNNNNNNNNNNNNNNNNNNNNNNNNNNNNNNNNNNNNNNNNNNNNNNNNNNNNNNNNNNCAAAUGUAGUAUCCACAGAAAUCAUUCCCUUGUUCCUGCCACAACCACUUUACAAGAAAUAGAGGUCAAUCAAACUGAUAAUUAGCAAGCAUGCUAAAUGGUAUUGAUGAAACUAGCGCUUGAAUCACUAGGAGAUGCGUGGAAUAUGCUACUAUAUAGUACUUACUUUCGGGUGCCUAAAUUGCAGCUUCUUCGGUAGUCCCGGAGCUUUUUUGGUGAAUUUUCUCCAAGCCCUGCCAUACAAAGAAAACAAUUACUUGAUAUCAGAAAUGAACAAAGUUGCUGAUAUGGUGGAUAAUGAUCGAUUUAACUUACUUCUCGAGCAUUUCAGUCAUGUCCGCAUACUCCUUGGGAUCUUUUCGCUUGGAGUCUAAGACAGUUACUACUCCCUUCUCAAGCUUAAUCUCUAGGAGAAUAUAGUGGUAGCUGCGCACACAUGCAUAACUCAUCAAUAUUAUAUUACUAUAACCUGGACUAAUAAGGAAACCGAAUAUGAUGGUAUGAAGCUCUCCAAAGUUAUUUUGGAACGGAGUCCUAGAUAGGAUAAUUCACUUUUUGGUACAAAGUUCAGCAAGAACCUUCCGAAUAUCGUUAUUUGGAAGGCCUUUGCUGAAAUUCGUACAAAAAGGCAAAUUAUCCUAUCCGGGACUCCAUUCCAGAAUAACUUUGGAGGACUUCGUACCACCAUGCCAUGGUUACUUCCGGCUAAUGAUGAAGCCAUGGAUUUCUUCAAUACGUUGACACUAGGAAACCUCUCGACCCCUCGGCGAUCCUCGACCCCUUGAACCCUCGACGACCCUGGAACCCUCGACCCCUAGACGACCCUGGAACCCUCGACCCUAGAUCCCUCGAACCCUCGACCCUGAAACCCUCGACCCUUGACCCCUUAACGACCCUCGACCCUCUACCCUAGUUCCCGACCCUCGAUCCCUCGGCGAUCCUCGACACCCUCGUUCCCGAUAAAAAUUAAGAAGAAGAAGAAAAAAAAGAGGAGAAAAAAAGGAGAAGAAGCCCCUCUAUUCCUUCUUCUUCUCCUCUUUUUUUUCUUCUUUCUCUUCUUCCUCUCCUCGUCUUCUCCUUCUUCUUCUCCUUCUUUCUCUACUUAUUUUCCUUUUCCUUAUUUUACUUUUUCCUCUCCACUAACAUAAAAUGCACUAACCUAAAAUGCAACAAACAAAAACUGCACUAAAUCGAUCAACUAACCUAAAAUUAGUGAUAAAAUGCACUAACCUAAAAUCGAUAUCUACUAACAACUUAAAAAAAUUAAUACAUAUAUGAAAAAAUGCAUAUAUGAAAAAAAAACAUCAUCAUAUCAUCAACACAAAAAAAUAGUAUUUUUUCUAAAAAUUUAUCUUUUGCAUAUAUACAUCAACAUAUAUAUGCACUAACCUAAAAUGCACAAAAAUGCUAUCGGAGAGGGGGGGUAUAUCGACCCCCCUCAUGUAUCAACAUACAUACAUCGAUCUAUACAUACAUACAUUUCUCAUAUAUACAUACAUACAUUUCUCACAUAUAAUUUUUUUUGCAUAUAUAAAAUACAUAUAUGCAAGUUUUUUGUAUCGACCCCCCUCAUAUAUAUACAUAUAUACAUACAUACAUUUCUCAUAUAUAAGUUUUUUGUAUCGACCCCCCUCUUCUUCUUCCUUUCUUCCUUCUUUCUAGCUAGAUAUAUAAAUUUUUGCAUAUAUAAAAUACAUAUAUACUUGCAUAUAUGUAUAAAUUUUUGCAUAUAUAAAUUUUUGCAUAUAUAAACUUCUGCAUAUAUAAAAAAAGAGGAAAGGGCGCCGGCGGCCGGACCGAAGGCGGCGGCGUGUGGUCGGGGCGACGGUGACGGGGUUGGGGAAGGGGCGGCGCGCGCGGCGACGGCGACGGGGUCGGGGAAGGGGCGGCGCGCGCGGCGACAGCGACGGGGUCGGGGAACGGGUGGCGCACGCGGCGACGGCGACAGGGUCGGGGCAGGGGCGGCGCGCGCGGCGAUGGCGAACUGAAAAAGGGAGUACAUUUCAAACUCCAGAACAUGAUGGUGCAAACGGUGAACUGAAUAAAGCUAUAAUGGGCCAGUAUACUACAUGGAGCAUAAAUCUGCAACAUGAUUUUUGUAGUUAUAGUAAUAUUACUUUUUUCGAAAAUGAAAAUCUAUUUGCAGCAUUGGUGUGAAGCAUGCAUACCCGUACACAAUCAAGGAUUGAAGUCCAAAUCUCAGCAUGUUCCACGUCACCAGAACAUCAUCGUAUUCCCAAGUAACCAAAAGUAUUGUUACUCCUGGUUGCCGUGAAAUUUCUGCAACAAAGAGGGGACAAUUCAGUACAAAGAGAGAUAACAGAGAGAAGGGAGACGUAGUGUUGUUGUCGUUGUGCCCCCUCACCUCCCGCCCCUGCAACUUGAAACCAUGGGCGCCUCUGCACUGCAACCCCGUAUGCACAUACGUCCCUCUCCCUCGCCCGACACAAGACACACAAGCUAGCACCGGCCAAAAAUCAAUCAAUCAAUCAGUCAGUGAGGGGAAGCUUGUUGAUUGACAUCCAAAAAUUCAAUGAGUUAGAGAGCAGAAUAAACUCAUUAACAGCACACAUAAACAACCAGCCAUCCCCUGGUUCAAACUGGUACUGGUAUAGAUUUACAGAUUUGACGGUUCGAUUCAGGCACCUGCCUUGGAUGUUCCUCGUGAUUUUUCGAGGCCGAUUUCAAAGGCCGGCAUAGAGGAGAGCUUGGCAUUGAGCUCUGAAAAAGCACAUCAUGUAUCACACGUACAGUAGCACCCAAGAUGACUGAAAUCAGCCUGAUAGAGAGGGAGAGAAGACGUACCGAAGAGGAUGGGGCACCGGUCGUCGCCGUACUUGGAGCCAUCACCAUAUUUCGCCGGGCGCAGUCAGCGGCAUGACAGAGGAGACAAGGGUGCGAGCAAAAGAGACGCCGGCGGCUAGGGUUAGACCGCAGCAAAGCAUAGCCACGCCAGUUGUGGAGGCUUGGAGCACCUUUCGCCACGACCGCCGUGGUUGCAAACCGGCAGUCCCUGGUGCACCUGCCGGCCUGCCUGCCUGCGUGAGGAAAGGAAAUCUGCGUCAAGGAAGAAAGCGAGUGGAGACACACCAGGGGGCGGCGGAAGAGGGGAGCGGCAUGGACACGGUGGUGGAGGAGGAUGCGCCGUCGCCCGAGAAGAUCUUCUCUUUCCGCCCCCUCGUCUCUCGGUUGAACACGGAGGGGGCUAGGUCUUGGGCGGCGGUGGCGGCCCUCUGGAGCAGCGGCGAGAGCGCGGAUCCGGGAGGCCUUGGUUGCUGCCACCUCGAAGCGACGCUUCCUUGACGAGGACACGUCCGUCAGCCGUAACCUACGGUGGCGCAUCGCCGAUCUGGGAACGCCGUCAUCGUGAGCUUCAAUCUGGAAGCGCAAGCGCCGAGGCGGAGAGGCGAUCCCGGCACGUCGCCGAUCUGGUGGCGCGUCGCGCUGUUGGUCGACCCCGGCGGAGAUCGGGAGCCAUCUCUUUCACGGCGGAGAGACGGCGACUAAGGCAAGAACCGGCACGUUAGCGGCGGCGGCGAAGGGAUGGAGGGCGGCCGCGAACGAGGGCAGUGAGUCGGGCGUGCGAUUAGGAGAGUCGUGCGAUUGGUUUAGGAUUUUUUUUCGCUGGUUAAUUUUCGCCGGUUUGUUUAGGCUAGUUUAUUUUCGAUCGUGUCAGUUCAUUGCAACGGGAGGUUGGGCGCGUGGGAGCGGGUGUGGGACUCGGUCGCCGGGUUUUUCUUGGUUUUUCGCGGCUGAGCGGGAGGUGGGAGCAAGUACCAAAAAAGACCAUAGUAGGUGGGACGAAAAUAAAACCCGGAACGCGACCUACCAACUGAGACAUUAGGAGUAGAGAUUAGUGUACGACAACCUUCGGUAUAAGGUCAACGUACACAUUCCAAUUAAAUAUUUGUUGUUCCCAUCUUAAUUCUCGACUCUGACUAUAUCACUCAAACCAUGCACGAGUAUGGCGUUUUGGAUCUCGGCCUCCAUGGAGGCAGAAUUUUUGGGAAAAAAAUCGGUUACAAAAAAACCGGAAAUUUUUUCUACAAGUAAACAAGGAUGUAAGGUGUAUAUGUGUAAAAUUUCAGAAUGAAAUAUGUUCAAAUGUGACCUGCACAAAAAAAAACAAGUCCAUGGUCUGGGAGGAUGAAAUUAAAAAGCCCCAGUUUUUUUUUUUGCACACCCAUCAUUUCAACGUAUUUCGUCCUGAAAAUUUACACACUUGUGCAUUAUGCCUUCAUCUAUGUCUAUAUUUUUUCCAGAAUUUUUUAAAAUGUAAAACUAUAAAUUUCGAUGAAUUCUGAAAUUUGCAUUUGGAAGCCUCCACGGGGCUCAGGGCUCCACAAGCAAUUUCAGAGGAGGCAAACAUGCUACACUUACAUAAAAGCAUACGUACGGUCACGUAAUUAGACUAAUUACUAAACACACACACACAAUUCCAACUGGAUGGGGCCCCUCUCCUAAUUUCCUUCACCUGAAAAAGCCACCUAAGCCAUCACGUUACUUUACGUUUAAUUGCUACGUAGGUGUAGCAUUGCUCUUUUGGAGGCAUGCACCCUCUAGUUUAGUCGAAAGUUAUUUCUACAGCAACAAGUAGUAGUGAUGUUGCCCGGCAGCCCGGGUGACAGUCAUCAUGGAAGAAUCAACUGCCACUCGUGCUGGUGUGGCUGUCAUAUUCCCUGCACGCAGGCUUUUCCACUGUGCAUGUAGCAGACUUUUUGUGAUCGUCCGUGUUAGAGAUUGGGUUUGUUGUGGGUUUUAUUUGUGUCGGGCGGGUUCUUGUUUCAUUUGGUUUGAUUUUAUACAUUGUUGGGUGGGGGUAUGUAGCUAGUUUGCGUUUUCUUGAUGGGGUUACAUUUCUGUUGGGUUGUCGAAUUACGGUGCAAGAAAAUAAAUGGCUGCGACCAGCAAGAAAAAGCAGAGAGGCACCAACACGUACACAACAACGCGUACCCAACCAUCAUAUUAAUAAGUGAUUUGGAAUAUGUAUAUCUGUUUUCAGGGUUAGCAAUAGAGAGGCUUGCACUAUGUUUGGGAUGUUGGGAUGAGGUAUGCUCACUCCUGGAGGCAAGAGAUGUGCAAAUGCAAGCACAAGUCACUCACUGCUGGACCGAGGAUUUUGGACCUUGGAUGGAGAGGAGAAGAAAAUCGUUGUAAUUUGAAAUGGAGAAAAGGAACCCUAACCAGCAUAUAUACACUCGAUGCUUUCAUUCCAUCAUCCACCGCUCUCUCAAUGCAAGUAAGGUACACGACGUAUGUGACUCAAAGCAUGCUGCAUUCACAAUGAAAAGCCUGCGUGCUCGCGCAGGGAAUAUAACAGGCACACCAGCACGAGCUACCACAGUAAAAAAGAAUCUGUUCUUGGUAGUACAAGAUCUCAUUGGGUCGUCAUGAUGGUGAUGCUCUUCUUGGUACAUAGUACACUACUCAAUUCUCGCAAAAAAAAUUAUAAAAAAUAGUACAGUACUCAAAAAGAUGCUAUCUGUAAGAUUAUUAUCAAAAAAAUAUAUGCAAAAAAAGGCAUCUGUAAGAUUAUCAUGGACAUCGGCAUUUUCAAGUGCCUUCAGUUUUGAUAAGCGAGUACAUGCCUCAACUCCCGGCUUCUCCUUCACACAGGCUGACUGGAUUGAAGCUUUGCAUGUGCCCGGCACAAAUUUGUUAAUGCGCCGGAUGAUCUUUUUUCUUUAGAAAUUUUUUGAUCUAUUCAUCAAUUAUCAAAGUAGUGCAAUGAACAUCAAAAAUCCCAUAAUAUAAGAACGUUUUUAGCACUACAUCUAGAUAUAAAUUAGUAGUACAGAAGGUCAAAGGGCAACUAGAAGGGGUGCAGCAAGCAGAAAAAAAAUACUCCCUCCGUCCGAAAAUACUUGUCAUCAAAAUGGAUAAAAAGAGAUGUAUCUAGAACUAAAAUAUGUCUAGAUAUAUCUCUUUUUAUUCAUUUUGGUGACAAGUAUUUCCGGACAGAGGGAGUAAUAGCUACGGGGCAUCUCCAAUGUAGACGCUGAUGUGAAGCCCCUAGUACAGCGCAUGCACAACGGAUGUGUUGUCGCUUCGACCUGAACCCUGCAAAUGCUCUGCUCUGCUCUGCUGGACUGACCACAUCACGAAUCUUUACGAUGCUCAACAUACAAGAUAAGGCCAACUCCAAAGACCAAUCGUCCUGCCGCGUCUCUUUGGGUAAACAGACACAUAUCACGGUCCAUCCAGUGAAAGCAAACAGACAAAUGUCCGUUUUUUAUCCGCCAAAGACGUAGCGUUGGUGUCGAAACGAACAGCGCGUGAAAUGGCGGGAGCCGCGCCCUUAUCCUCCCCUGGCCCGUCCGUCGGGGACACAACGCACCCACUUUCCCUCCCUUUUCCAAAAACCAUCCCACGCUCCCCUCCUCCAUGGUCGGUGACCCGAAGCAACGUGACGACCAGGCCGCCACCACCACCCGUCCCGCGACGAAGAAGAGGAAGAAAGAGUGGUCGGAGCUCACGCCAGUGAGGUCGCUCGGCUUGACAUUGAAUCGGCCAGGAGGAGGUCCCGGCGGACCGUUGCAGCGAAGAAGAAAGACGUUGUCGACUAUGCCGCCGAGGCCGUGACCGCGCAACACAAGGCCGCCAUCGACCACAAUGAGGCCAUCAUCGCCAAGGCCACGCAUGUAGCGACCACGCAGGCCCUUGUCGUGCUAGGGUUGUGCCAACCCGGGCUGGCCAUUCUCUCCGCCGCAGCCAUGCCCGCGGCGAGCACAGGCUCGUCGGUCAUUCACCCUCCGUAGUACCAGUCUCUUCCAUAACAUCGGAGACGGCCGGUUUUCAUCUGCCACGGUAGCAUACUCAAACCCGGUUGAGAUGGCCGGUUUUCAUCCGCUGAGGCAGCAUGCUCAAACCCAGUUCUCCAUGUCAUCGGAGACGGACAGUUUUCGUGCGACUACAACGCGUUCAUGGAGAACGUCAUCUACGAGGGCCAUGGCCAGGCCUUCCACCCCUAGGGCCAAGGCCAAGGCUUCAAUUCCAACGUGACCAAAAGCCAAGACGGCUGCGAUCAAGAUGGUGCCGUCCACUACGAAGAAGAAGAGGCCGACGAUCAUGGCAACUCAUGGCAUGAAGAUGAGGCCGACGACCAUGGCAACUUAUGGCAAGACCAACUUGAAGCCUGACGAGAACUUAAUACCUUGCAAGAAACUUUGCACGGUAUGAUGACUCAAAAGGAAGUGAGGAAGGAGAAGCGUGAUGCGGCAUCUAUUGCCUUGCAAGAAACAUAUGUUUGUCAGCUGCUGGCUUUGUUGCCAGCAUGAACUAUGGCCGUUGGCAUGAACUACGGCAGCAGUGACAAAUUUUCUUUUGCAAAACAUUUCAGGCGGCCGGACAAGAUGCAUCCGCGCGUUGGGUGCACGACCGGCGCAUCCAGAAAACGGCCAGACGCCGCCACAUUGUGCUAUCCAAAUGGACAAAAUCCGGAAAAAGCAGAGUCCGUUUGAGGUCGUGAGAUGGAGUUGGCCUAAGCGGGCUUCAAAACUCCCGAGUGCUAUUGUACAUUUUUAUUAUGGGUGUGGCUAGGUCUCAAUCGACUAAGACUUAAUCAAGUUUUUGUCAAGUGGCAAUAUCAUACAAAGAAGGGAAAAAAAUUGCACGGAACUUCACGUAAGCUUUCAUGAAUAUAGCAUCGACUGAGACUUGGUUAAGUCUCGGUUCUCGGAGAUUUAGCAAUCAGGCUUUGUUAUUUAUUUCCAGUCUUUAAUUUUCUGUCUUUCUAGUGUGUGUGAUUGUUCAUUGUUUUUGAGAUAUAUAGCUCAGCAUCCAUGCUGAAUGGUGUCUUUCUAGACUAGUGUGUGGGUGUGUAUAAAAGCCCAUGCAGCUAACCAGACGCUCGUAGGUCAUUCUCUCUCUCUCUCUCCCACCCUCAAUUUGAUUUCAAGCAUACGGGGCGCGGCAGCAGAGACCACCAUGACCGACCUUCCCAUCGGAGAGCCGCCCAAGACCAAGGUUGAGGGCAACACCUCCAGCUUGUACGACAAGACGCUGUCGACGGCGUCGAACCUGGCGAGGCUGCUGCCGACGGGCACCACGACGGCGUUCCAGACGCUGGCGCCGUCCUUCACCAACCACGGCGAGUGCCUAUCGGUGAACCGCUACUUCACCUGGGCGCUCAUCCUCUUCCUCGGCGUGCUCUGCGCGCUCCUCUCCUUCACGGACAGUGUCACCGACCGGCACGGCCACACCCGCUACGGGUUCGUCCACCCGUGGGGCUUCACGCCCUUCAACUCCGACGACCCCGACGGGGGCGGGGCCAUCCCCACGGGCGAGAGCAGGAGGCGGCGCAUGCGGUGGCGGGACUGGCUGCACUCCGUGUUCCGCUUCGUCGUCUUCAUCUCGCUCGCCUUCUGCGACUCCGGCGUGCAGAAGUGCCUGGUCCCGCGCGAGAGCCGGCAGUGGCGCGAGUUCCUCGUCAACAUGCCGCUCGCCUCGAGCUUCCUCGCCAGCUUCGUCUUCAUGAUCUUCCCCUCCACCAGGCAUGGCAUCGGCGCCGGCCCCGGGGCCCCCGCCGCCCCCCUCCACAACCUCACCGACACCAAUGCCGAUGCCGCCGCCGUCAAGAGUGAUGAGCUGAAGAAGAGCAAGAGUGCUCCCGUGGCCGCAGACACCCGAGUUGUCCCGUCCACCAGCUAUGAGCUCCACCAUCUCGUCUAGCUCCUCGAGCUCUAGCUAUAUAUGCAUCAAUGCAUAUGGAUGCAUUAGCACUAAUCUUGAUGUGUGCGUGGUUCGGUUCCGUUGGCACCUGAGUCCUGCGGGCGCUGCAUCCAUUUCUGCGACAAGUAAUUUCGAACGGAGGGAGUAGUAUUUAGUUAUCACUUAGCUGCAUGCUAGCUAGCUACUGUAGUCCAGGGUCGUUAACAAAUUUAAUUAGCUAUAUGCAUGACCGGCCGUUGUGGACAAGUUACACCAGCGCUGCUCGUCGAUCGUCAUGCUUCUUGUUACUAUUUGGUGCAUCUUCAACCGCGACCCGUAAAUUUUUCUCCCACAUCCGUCCAUGUACAGGGAUAUAUGGAAGGCGGCCAUCCAACCGAGUAGCCACAUGUAUUCAAAACAUCUAGCUAAAUAUUUGGCUAAAAGAACCUACUAAAACACGACCCCUUCUGCCAAAUGAUAUGAGCACCUUCAGCCAAAUCUAAGCAUGUCAUGCAAUGGUGAAAGCCAACCUUCCACCAUAUGAAUUUGCUUAAUAAAAAAAUUAAUUAGCACCUUCCGCCAAAUGAAAUAUACUAUUCAUUACUACCUUCCACCAAAAUGCUGGCUCUCCGUGCAAAAAAAUUUUAGUGGGACAUCUUGCAUUCCAAUUACGAUGGAUGGACCGACCAAAUCGGCGGCCGCAAUACGGGUUACAUCAUUUGCAUGCCACACAUGGCCAUUCUGGUUAUUACCUCUGCCACCAUAGGAAGCAAGCACAUGCGCUACCGUGGGACAAAACAUGACUCUAUGGUCAAUGAACGCACGGCAACGCUGAGCCCUGGUUAGAAAGAACUCUGGCCGCCGCAAGUGCAACAUCGCCAUCAGCAUCCUGCGCGAUCACACCCGUGCCCGCGUACAUAGAAGCAUCAAAACUAAUUUUAACAAAGUCAGGCGGAGGGGGAGACCAUUUUAGCGGUGACCUCUGACCACUCCAGAAUCAUCACACUGGUCACAAAUACGAAUAUAUAAGAUUAGCACAAUGCACUCUGCCAAAUACUAGCCAUCGUGGGCGGAUGCAGAGUACAGACGGUACAUGGUGGCUUUUUGUUGGUCAUGUAGGUGUNNNNNNNNNNNNNNNNNNNNNNNNNNNNNNNNNNNNNNNNNNNNNNNNNNNNNNNNNNNNNNNNNNNNNNNNNNNNNNNNNNNNNNNNNNNNNNNNNNNNNNNNNNNNNNNNNNNNNNNNNNNNNNNNNNNNNNNNNNNNNNNNNNNNNNNNNNNNNNNNNNNNNNNNNNNNNNNNNNNNNNNNNNNNNNNNNNNNNNUCCGAACCGUGCCGCGGAUCGAUACAGGCCGCGCUGGAUGGCUUCCACGGUCUAGACAGCGCGGUCCAGACGUAUGCGAGAGGUUUGAGGGUCGGUGUUGGAGAUGCCCUUAGUGCCUGCGUGUGUGUUGGCCUUGAUGUGUGUGACCGUAUGCAAUUUAAGCAGAGUGGUGGUGUUGCCACACAGAGAGGAGUGAGAUGUAAUCUCCGCCGGGACCGCGGUGUGGCCGGCCGGCAGGAGAGCUCCCCUGGGUAGUGUUGCGUGUGUGCGCUCACUGUCAGGUGGAGUGAGUCUCCAUGUAUUCUGUUCAUGAGUCGGAAUAUAGGCGAAGAUACAGGCGUUUGUUACUGCAGCGUUCGUUGCCGGCAAGCUAGUGACACGCUUUAGAGUGCAUGUCCAGAACUCGUUCAUGAUCGCUUGCCUAACAAGCUCUUUCAUCCAAUGUGGUCUUGCAAUCCACUGAAUCGGGGAAAGGACAUAGGGCUCAUCUGGAUAUUUUGUUUCAUCCUCGAGUGAAGUACUAGUUUCAGCGAAAUCAUCGCUCAACUGAGCAUGUAACUUUUUGAUUUGACUAUGUUAGCGUCCAUAGUUGCGAAGCGAGUUAGCAUUUUUGUUUGAUCUUGCAUUACGCACAGACCAAUGCAGACGAUAAGCAGCCACAUCGAGCCUCUCCAAGAGCUUAGUUUUGCUUUCUUGUAUGAGUGGGGAGUGUGAGCUUGAUGUAGUGGUGGCACUACUUUUUUAGCAGAUUGCGAGCCUCGGUGAUAAGAGCCUUACGUUCCUCCUUAUCCUUAGCGGAAGCAAGUUUUUUGGCCUUCUUGGUUUCAGCGGUAUGGAGGGACAUCAGGUUCUGCGUCGGGUGAUAGUGAGUCUUGCUUCCAUUUCAAUGCCUUCUUGGUUUCAGCGAGAUGGAUGAGUGCAUGACGUGCUGUUUAGUUUUGCCAUCACUUGGGAGGGAUUACGUGCCAGAUACUCCCUCUGUUCGGAAUUAUUUGUCGUGAAAAUGGAUGUAUCUAGACAUAUUUUAGUUUUAUAUACAUCCAUUUUCAAGACAAGUAAUUCCGAACGGAGGGAGUAUGUGAUUAUGCAGCAAGCUCGGGCACAUUAGUAAGCAAAAUAUUUCUUUUCCCACGGAACAAUUUUGUAUGAUAAUUUGGCCAGAAAAAGGGAACCGAAGGUGUGCGAUAUGCAUGUAUUUUUGUGAAGCAAAUACACGCAGCAUAGGAGGUAUAUGCAUGCAUGCCCAUACGUACAAGGCCUGUGCACACUUUUUCUCUCAAACAUCAGGCAACACGUGUAGCCGAGUCAUCCCGUACGUAGUACUUCUAGGACACCUUUUACUUUUUCUUGUUUCAUGGCACCAAAGAGAACUUGUAGUAGAAUCAUCACACAAUACUUUCUGAAUUUCUCUCUUUUUUAUCACAUCAAAGAGAACUUAAAAUCCAGCACAAAAUACUUAUUGGUUCGGCAUCAGACCAAAUUUUGCUUCUGGCUGGUAAAAGAGAGCAAGAGAAGUUGGACAACGAUGGGAGGAGAAUCAGGUCCCACUGGGCAUGCCAUUUUGUUUCAAAAACAAAAUACAUGACAAACGCGGAAAUAAAUUAUGGGAACUCUGUAUUUUAUUUAUCAUCGUACAUAUUACAAGUACAUCAAUGUUAGAUGCUCCCAUGGGAGUUUGUCUAUUUUUCCUUCUUGCGACUAUGCUUAAGGAGUAUCUGACUUGGAGAGAUUGCGUGUAGUCCACUGAUUCCCGGCGCUUUGCUUUUGCAAUGCAUCCAAUUAAUUACAUCUGCAGGUCGAGCCUACAGAAAACCUCCGACUAAUCUGCGUGCGGUCGUCGUCGUGUACUUUGCUCAUCAAGAUACAUGGAAGAUGUAGGGGAGAAAGGUUAUAGAUCAUGAUGAUUCGUAGGUGCGGGUGGCUUUGUUCUGCAAGGACCCAGUCACAAUAUGCCAUCGUCAUGUCGGUAUUUGGAACGGAAAUUGUUGAUGAAGAUGGUGACUUUUGACUCGUCGGUGCCCAGUCAUGUACCCAUGAAUUCGUCGAACAUGGACAUGUGUGCAGAGGCGGAACCAGGAUUUUUCAAAGCCUAGGGCUAAAACUAACUGACUAAAUAUAAUGUCAAAUACUAGGCACAUCAAUGUGCGUUAUAAGUAUGACACAAAAUCACAUUGAAGACGACAUUAAAAUUCAUUAUUAUAACAAGAGGAAAAUCCAUAAAAGAAAUAGUUUAACAAAGUGCAUCAUUGCGAACAUGGUUUGGUACCAAAUUAGUGAAGACUUGCUUAAUUCAAGGCCCUCGUUUCUUCACCAUCAAUAGUGCAAGGACCUGGAUCUGCAAACAUAAAAUCAAGUAUUUAAAAUCAAGACACUGGACAUAGACUAAAUCAAUGGUUCGUUUGAAAUUUUGCCAAAAAAAAAGAGAACAUAUUAUACCAUUAACACGAAGUCCACGAAUAAUAGCCCCUUUGUGUUUCCUCAUUUUCUAAUAGCAUUAUAUAAUCUUAAUAUCACCAAUGCUUGCAAAUACAUCACGCUCAAUAUAGCACACCAAACGGUGAUUCAUCCUUUCUUUGUAUAUGCUUCUAUUCCAUAGUUUUCAGCUCUUGGUUGCUUAAAGAGAAAACAACGAAAACAGAAGCCAGCCUUUUUAGCAACACUACAUUUCAACCAAUCAUGCAAUUUGUACCACUCUUCAUGAAAGCUUCUCAUCUGCUUCCCAAUUCUUUCCUGUUCAUAAACAUGGCCCGUUAGUCCGACAUGCUCCCAUGGCCAAAUACUCUCUUCUAGCGGCCUCCCUAACAUCUGGAGGCAACUCUUCAAUUGGUUUUGGGGGGCCGGAAUCAGGAUUAAUGUCAUCCAGAUUAAGCUCCACACGUGGUUCACUUUCUUUUGUACUAACUCCCACUGGUACUAAUUCUGUAGCAGCGCGUUUGUUUGGGGGGAGUUGGAGGUGGGGAAUGGGAGUUGGAGGCCCGUGGGACUUAACUUCCCUUGAUUGGGUCAGGGACAUGGGAGUUAAGAGAGGUAGGGGAAAGGGAAUUCGGAGGCCCAACUCCCAUCAGACUCUUCCCGGGGGGACCCUAGUAAUUCAGCCAGGGAGUGGGAAUUGACGUUAAAAAAACGCGAGCUGUUCCUCACGUCCCGCGGCGGAAGGGGAUAAAGGCGCGAAAAUUCUAGAGAAAGCGCGGUAAAAUCCUACCUGAUUACCCCUAUUUAGCAGCGGCGCCAUUCUUCCUCUAAACAAAUCUUCGACCCACUAAUUUCUCCUCCUUCUGCAGAGAUGGCGGCACACACGAACAGGAGCUAAGGUAGCCCCUUUUUUCAUCUUUCCAUGUUGAAUUCGUGGAUAUUUUCAUGCCAAUCCAACCUUGUUUCGUUCACAUCUAGUUGUAUCCCAUCUGAUUUUGCUAACAAAAUUGGAUUCGUUGCUUUUCCCUUCACAAACUGAUGCAGAUCUAUUAUUCUUUCUAUUUUUUCUCCUGCUUCACAGGUCGCAGAUUUGUCUCAGCACUUCGUUUCCCCUUUUCUAUCAGGAGCAAGAGAAACCAAAAGGCUGCAGGUGGGAAGUAAUCCUUCAUUUUCUAUCUCCUUUGUUCCCUUGUUUGAUUCGUACGGGAAAGUGUAGAGAGGUCUCUGUCUUACAUAGUAAGUGAUGGCCUUUUUAGAAGCAUAGGUGGGACAUGGAUGGGUAUAAUUAGUGGAUGAAAUCUCUUGUGCUUGUACAAUUUUUUAUGCUAUUCUUCAGCUGCAGUUGUAGAUCAUCGCUGGCUUGCCGUUGUGGCUGCUACUUGCACAUGUAUAUAAUCAAGAUUGUUCAGGAUGUUUGCUUCAUGCUCCUGUACUUUCUAAGUACAGUUUUAAAUACACAAUUAAGUGCCAGCUGACAACUGUAAGUGGCAUAUGCAGAUGCAUAUUUUAUUGAGCAUAUAUGCAUGUUUCAUUGACACAUAUUUUAUAUACACAUGAACACACAAACAAAUCUUGAUAGCUGAUACAGAUUAGAUGUCUUUUAAGUCCCUUUAAGGGGCGCUUAAGGCACCGUUUAGGAAAUGCCUCGCCGGUGCCCAGCAACAAAGUGUCUCAUCUUGUUUGAGAUUGUAACAUAUUGAUGGAAUAAAGUGACCCGGUCUCGUCGGCGCUUGGCCAUAAAUUUGGCUAGCCUUGUUGGCACUAGACAUAUGAUGAUCGUGAUUUACCAUGGGAUUGCUGUAGAUUUUUGGAACAAACACAUCAAUGCACACCAUGGGAUUGUAAAGUUUUGGGACAAAUACACCAACACCCGUCAUGAAACCGGUGUCCUUCUUCUCGUCAGUACUCGGCCAAGGUACUGAUGUAGACUUUUCGUUUGGUAGAACAGGCCUUCUUCUCAUCAGUACCCGGCCACGGUACUGAUGUAGAACUUGCUUUUUUGGUGAGACUGGCCUUUUGCUCGUCAGUACUCGCCCAAGGUACUGAUGUAGAACUUGCUUUUGCCACAGCCUUGAGGCCAGUAAGAUAGAACGAAUCAAGCUCCCUCGUAAGGGGGCAAGAUCAACUUAUUUGUUGUUUAUCUUCAUGGAACCAUUGAUCGGUACAACUUGCUUCUUUUCUCGUCAUGGAUUUGAGCUUGCGAUCGGAUCUUCCAACUUACCAUCAAACCCAACCGUUGGCGCGCGAAGAUCAACAUGUCAAUAGAGCUUCGGCGUGCUUGAAGAAGAGUUGCGGUGUGGAGAGGAGUUGCGGCAUGCGCCUGGGUUCUUGGCUAGAUGUGAUGUUGCGUGAAGUAUAUAUAUGUGCAGCUGACGGCUAGAUGGAUGUGUGUGUAGGCGAUGGAUAGAUUGCGGCGGAACAGUUCCCGUAAACCCGUCCCGCAAAUUGUUUAUGGGACAUGUUUGCGGGAUCUGUUCCGCGCCGGAGGGCUCGCGGUCCCGCAAAUACAAUUAUAAGCAAAUAUUGUCAAGUUCAUCAUCUCAAGAGUGCAUAAAACUAGUUCAUCAUCAUAUAUUUACAUCACUAGUUGAUCAUCAUACUAAUUCAUCACAUCCAAAAUCAUGCGCAACAUACGUGCUAUCAAGUUUAGGCUCAUGAAUGCGUGAUAAAACAAGACAAAAGAUGCUCAAAUGACAGAUCGAUCAAGAACCAUUCUCAUUGUUGCGUAGAACGUCCCCACCAACACUACCCCUAGCACCUCCAUCGCCAUCGUCCACAUUGACCGAAGAGCUCGCACCACCAUCUUCACGGACUUGAACCGGAGAGCUCGCACCACCAUCAAACAACUUGGAAAUCUGAUACCACAUAAUAAGAGCGAAGGUGACCCAUCUUUCGAUGAGAUGGUAAUUAUCAUUUUCGGUGGAGUAUGACUACGAACGCACGAAGACGUCACGACUUAGCAAUUGCUAAACCAGCUUCGAGUGGUUAUUGACCAUGUUGGAGCAUGAUCAACCUGACCACGAGGGUGUAUUUCCUGCGGGCAAAUGAAAAACAAGUAAGAAACUAAUAUUGCAAUCUAGAUAUUGCGAAUUUAAGAGGAAAACUUUAUUGGUGAAAGUGGGGUUCUGAAGCGUCUUGGCCUAGUCGUUGGACAGAAACGAAGUACGCGCGUCGCGCUAUGGCGAAUUUUAAUCUAAACAAAAUCCAAGUCUAAUCGGUGCCUUAAGGCUGUAUUUAUAGGGAUAAAAGAGGGGAUUUCGUCCAUCCUUGGCAAGGUGGGACUAAAACACCUCCUGAGUUGUUUCCUACAUAAUACGGACUCUAAAAAAUUGUCUAUGAAGUAGUAUUUCAAAAUUACAUGGGCCUGACCCAAAAAUAAGAUGGCUUGACACCUAUAAUAAGAUAUGGACAAAAUUUAUGAAUGUAUAUCUUGUAUAUUUCAUCCAUGUCCUUGUAUGUCAUCAUGGUGGCUUCAAAGUACUGAAAACACUUGGUUCUUUUUCCCUUGUGUGUGCCAUCCUCUCCAUGCUUGAUUAUGCUCUAAUGUUCAUCCUUCUUGUGCAUGUGAGGCCCUUCAUUUGUAAGAGGAAACCGAGUCUGUGUGGAUUUGUUGACAACAACGAAUUGACUGAUAACAACAAAAAAGAUUAUGUAUUGAGAUCUGGGAGGUUAAGAAGAAAAGGAUUUUUUUCUUCCAAAAUGUUGUAUGGAUUGAGCUUAUCCUGGUUUCCACGUCCUCUCAAAGAAUUUAAAAGGUUUCCGCCCCCGCCGCAGUCUCCCAGCACGCACAAUCAAUCUUUAUAAGUCACCUCGUCACCAUAUUGGACUUGUAGGUGAGUAAUAUCUCCGAUUGAUUUCCUUUUAUUUUCUUGUAUGCCGCCCUUAAUUUGUUGCUCUCGAUUCAGAUCUGUAUUCUUGUAUUAUUUGUUGGGUUGAGUUGCAUGCAGUAGGCUGAUGAUGAUGAUUUGUUGGGCUUGAUUCAUUUUCAUUUGGCGAUGGAUUCGUACAUACGUGUUCGAAUUCAAUUAUUUACAGGGAUCAUCAAGGGCCAACGUCCACUCAUUCAUCAACCUCAUUGGGUUUUGAUCAACGAAGCGAAAAGAAGGAUGCCAAAGCGGCGGCGGCGGCACGGUGAGCGACGUCAGCGACUUUACCUUGUCUUCGACGACUGGUGCCAUGGAUAUAGCAUCCGUGAGGUAAACUUGCCGUUGCCCGGCGGCGACGACCAUGAGCAUGAGCACACUGCUGUGAAUGUGAUAAAGCGUCGUUUUCCAAAACCUUUGUUCCGCAUGGUGGCGCGGCGUAUGUGGCCCACCUUCUUCACCUCAGCCUUGGGCGCCAGGAUCUUGGCGAUGCAUCCCAGAGACCCUGAGGGUGACUUGCCCGGGAGCUACUUCCCCAUGUUGGACGUCCGCUCACGGACCAUCGCCAUUGGCCCUGCGCCAGAAUGGGUUAUGGGUACAAUCCACUACCUCCCCGUCGGCCAAAAGCUAUUCAUCCUCAGCUCCCAAGCCUUGUACAUGCUCUGCUUGGAUGAGUGCUGCCCCUCGGGGGAUCGAUAUUCCAGCAUGGAGUGGUCGUGGAAAGAGCUCUCCAAACAGCCGUUCAAUGUUGAAGCUGUCACCUCCUACUCUUUGCUCCCUGAACCUGAACAACACAUCUUCCUCGUCAGCACCAAGAACGGCUCUACCGAGGCCACAUUCGCUUUUGACACGGAUAAGCUUUCAUGGAAACUGCUUGGCAAUUGGAGGCUGCCCUUCGCCGGCCGCGGCCACUAUGACCUGGACCUCAACGGCUUUGUCGGGCUCUCCAGAGAACCGGACACACUUUACUGCUGCUGCUGCUACAUGCCCAUCUCGCUCAACUCUGUUGAAGGGCAGUGCCCUCCCCCUUCCUUCAACCUCUGCACCGUGGACAGCCUAUUGAGUGAUGAGCAACCAGCUGAUAUGCAUGUAGCAGGGCCGGCGACCCUUGUCUACAUGGGCAGCCGCAGCAAAUUCUGUCUCAUACAGUGCGUCUCUGUUAAGAAUGAUGGCCCUGCUGCUGCUGAUCUGCAUCACAAAAAAGAUGAUGAGGACGAUGAUGCGUGCCUGCCUGGUCACUGCAUGUAUCGUUUGACAACAUUCUCUCUCAGGCUUGAUGAUGGAAAGCUGACGACUCGCAAGAGCUCUAAGGUGCACUACUACAAAGUGCCUAAAGCAACAUCUAAGUCGUUCCUCGUUGAAGAUCCUGUGGCAUUUUGGAUGUAAAAUUCUAAAAUUGUGUCAUGGUAAUCAGUUCCUAUCUUUAUUUUUUUCACUUAGUUAAUUAUGACUAUGUUUCCUUGAAUGUUUAGUAAUGUGCACACUAUGUGAUUCAGUGAAUGUAUUGCCUUCUGUUUUUAAUUUUAUAUGUGAGUUUGCAACAAGAAAGUAUUCCAUGUAUGCCAUUACAUUUUUUCCCGAUAACACAGCAAGCUUAAAAAGCUGCAAACGUACUAUCUGAUCUACUAUUGUAUGUGUUUCAUAUGCUUGUGAUCUCUGGUUUGUCACGAAAGCUGUCAGAUGAGAUUUAGUAGUUUUAUUACUAGCGCCGAAGAUGCGUGGCCUGCGCCAUGCCUGUGGCACGCCCUGUUUAUUUUCUGUAUAAGUAGCUCUAUUUCUACAUUUGUUGCAUGCAAGCUCUUCUUGGUAAUUAGACAGGAACAAGUGUAUUUGUUAUGUACUGUGUGAUUGUGUUCAUGCCAAGUUCAUAUGUGGAGGAGGUGGCAUAUUGAGAUAAAAGGGGCUGACUGGAAGAAGUAUUGGACAAAAAGAACAUAAAUCGGCCCAAGUGGUUCAUUUUUUAUGGCUGGUUGCUCAAUGUUCAAUGGUACAUAAUGUAUUGUUAAAGGUUGUAGUAUCUUUUUUUAGGGAUGUAAUGAGAGAUAUAGCUACUGCUAAAAAUAUUUGCUGGCCAAACCCAAAAGAGGGAAAGAUAGAAAAAAAAUGGACUACGUCAACCGGACAGGACACAUAUUGCGGGUGAAAAACUCGUACUGUAUUACUCAACUUAUAAUAUUACACUCAUCAGCAGCUAGUUGGACAGUUUCCUCAGCACCAGAACCUAACCAAGUUAUUAUUCUACCUUCGGUACGGGCAAAUUUAGCUAAACUGUCACUAACCCUAUUCUAGGAUCGAGAAAGAUGAGUAAUACAAGAUUCACGAAGACUCGAUAGAUGUCUAAUUUCUGUAACUAGUGAAGAGUAAACUGAUCUAUCAGCUUGGCAUGGAUAAGCUUUACUGCCACAAUUGAAUCCAUCUCUAUGGAUACAGGAAGAUGGCUUCUCCACUUCAAGAGCUACACCACGCGCCAUCGCGGUUGCACCACCACCCACAUUGUCUUACUGCGAGCACCAACACAAGGCCAAUAAGACCGGAAAGAAGAGCCAAGCGACGGGAGCAGCAACACCAAGGCCGAUCGGGAGGGAACCACCUCCACCGUCGUCGUUCGAGAGGCCCGCGCCUCUGGCACAGUCGCGGUCGCCGUCCGGACACGACAGCGGGGCAAACCAGGCUACCCCUGGCCCGGCCAGGCCCAAAAUGGGCCCGCUAAACCCCGCCGGCCACGCUGCAGCAGGCUGGCGGCCGGGGGUCAGGGAUGACCAUUAGGUUCCUCGUCUCGAGGGAUAGCUUCUCCAUAUACAUACAUAUAGUUGCUUACUUGAAUAGCUCGCAUAUACACUAGACGGCAUGGACUUUAGGAGGGAAGGAAGGAAGCUUAAGGAAGGAAAGAAAAGAAGAACCUUGUUCUGAUCAUUGUCCUCGACGACGGUGCGGACGACUUGCAGGGACUUGAGGUGGAUCAUCCUGCUGCUGCUCUUGAGCAAGUAGGCGAGCGUGGAUAUGAUGUCGUGGGUGCGCACGAGGUUCUUCUUGGCGCCGCUCCGCUCGCAUAUCUGCGAGAUAUAGGCCAUGGCGUGCAUGUUGUCAUCCUCAGGGUGAAGCUUGAGGGCGUUUCAGGCCUUCUCAAGGUCCUUCAACUCCGACCCUGACCCCGACGGUACCUUCCCCAUCGACGACACUGAGAAGCAGGAGGCGGCGCAUGCGGGGGCGCGACUGGCUGCACUCCGUGUUCCGCUUCGUCAUCUUCGUCUCCCUCGCCUUGUGCGACUAGGGCGUACGUGUACAAGUGCCUGGUCCCGGGCGAGAGCCGGCAGUGGCGCGAGUUCCUCGUCAACAUGCCGCUCGCCUCGCCAGCUUCGUCUUCAUGAUCUUCCCCUCCACCAGGCACGGCAUCAAACGUGUGCUUUGUUUCAAUCAUCAAUUUUUGUCCCUAGCUAUCAUGCAUAUGAGAUUUGCUUUUCAUCCUUUUUGUUUCAAUCUUCUUUUUCGUCCUUGCUUUGGUACGUUGUACCGUACUAUGCAUGAUGUGGAUGCUGACUGUACUUUUUUUUGUAUUAUAUAUGCUGCAAGGCUACCCAAAUUUAUUUUAACCAUCAUGUGUGUGUCUGUGUAACUGUUGAUCCAGCUGUAACAUCCAAAAUUUCUAUGAUAUAGUUAAAUUCAUAAAAAAAUGAUUUUCCAUAUAUAGUUGUGUAUGCGGUUUUCACAUUUCAAACUAAUUGAUCUGGUUCUUAUUCUAUAUCUUGUUUGGAUGGCAAGCAAGGUUCUUAGGACCAUGUAUUUUGAAAUGGAUUAGGACUCCGUGGUAAGGUUGCAACAGAAUCGGAUCGUGGCAUUACAGCGAUUUUUCAUGGAACAUGAAAAUCUUACAUGUCGCCAAUGGUGUGCCAUAGCACACGAAACAAUCCGAAAACAUGGAUUUUUCACAACAUCUUUGUAAUCGUGUAUUGGGGUUCACAGGCAUGAAAAUCGUAAUAGGAUCCCAAAACAUUGAGCUAUAACUCACAAACAAGCAUGGAUAGGUAUUUUUGACGAUGUUGUUGUAACCAUGCACUGGGGAUCGUGAAACGUGGAAAUGCUCUGGGGACCCCAAAAUAGUGAGCUGGUGAUACGCCGAGUUUUGGCUAGGUGGCUCGAUCUUCAUGAGUUGGAGAAGUAAGGAGACAGGAACACAAAGAGCAUGGAUAUAAACACGAAGACAAUAGGAUAGCUAUCAUAGCACCCCCGUCAUAACACCCAACCAACAACACACAAAUAAGCAAGGGUCGGAAGGGGAUACCCAAGGCAACACACACACUCUAUGUGUUCGGUUUCCCCCACCACAUGGAAUGAUUAUGGUUUCUCCUAAACACAAGGGAAAGCAUGAACAAAUGGGUGUUCCCCACUCAUGGAUAGGUGAACUGAUGAAAUGAUACUGAUGGUUAAUCUACAAGUGUUCUUUUUUAGUAUUAGAGUAGUAUAGAACUAAGUGGUUAGGUGAUAAAAGAAGGACCAGUCCAAAGGAGACAAAAGAUGGUCAAAAGGAAAAGAAAGAACUAUUACAAGAGCAAAAGACACGCAGUUCGCUUCAGAGAAUGUCUUGAUUGAAAAGGAGGUAAUAGCACCCCAGAUCCAUGAACUUGCACGAGAUGUGAUGAUUUAGUCCAAAAGUUGCAAAAUGUGACUGAGAGGUCCCAGAACUUGCACCCCUAUGUGAUGAUUUGGUCCAUAGCGAAUCACAACGCGAAAAGUGGCACUUUAGAGCUUGGACCGGUCAGCCCUCGCAUUUUUGCACAAAGGCCCAUGUCUUCCCGUGGAAUAAAUCCGCACUACAUGACCAGAAACAGCACAACGGUCCUUGCUCUUGCCAAGUCCCUCCCACUCCUCCCCGGUGACCAAAACAUAAUCAUCUUUCUCUGUAUCGUUCAUUCGCCUUAUUCAUAUCGCGGUCAUAGGCUCGUAGUAGAAUAGAAUAGAAUAGGUCAUGGAUAAAAGGGUGGGGGCCUUUGCCCCCCGACCUGCAAAAAAACAUUAUGCAGAUUAACCAUACUCACCUGAUGGCUAAGAAGCCUAGGUCUCUUGGCACGGAGAGGAACACUGUCAAAAAGCACACCACAAGCGACUGCCAUGUAGAUCAUCACAGUGUCGUGUAGUACACGAAGAAAGCUCACGGUCAUCUGUAAGGGCAGGACGUAGUACAACGUGAGCCUUUGUGUACAAUCGUGUAGUACAUAAAAUCAAGUAGAAGCGACCUCUAUUUGUGACUGGUUCAUACUUUUGGUGGCUGUCUGCUGAAGACAGUGUUGCAUCAGCCACAUUACAAUGGUGUCCAAAACAUCACCAUAGACCAGAUCUUUGCCUCAUAAAUCAUAAUAAGUAGUAGCACACAAAGAUUGCAGGGAGAUGACUCAUACAGGACCAAGAGAUAUGUGCUUGUACAUUGCACAAGGUAGUAUAAAAUUCACCUCCUUGCACUUGUGUUGUGCCACAUUUCUAUCAUCGGCUUGGAGAAAAAAUAAAAUAGCACUUGUACAUUGCAGAAGGUACAUGAGCAACAAAGAGCCUCAUAAACAAGCUCACAAGAAAUGUUGCUAAGAAAUGACUCCACAGUACCAAAAGCUAUGCAUAGGAAUAGCACUUGUACAUUGCACAAGGUACAGUGGAGUCCAUUAUAUCAUCGGCUUAAUGGCAAUCUAAAAUCCCAGUACACCCAAAAGGUGGUCUCUUAGUACCACGAAAAAUUCCAUGUCUGCAUAACAUCAGACACUAAAAUGACACCUCUAGAAAUAUGUCAGAGCAAAAAUAAGAACAAUGAAACCCUGCUAGCACUGGCUUAAUACAAGCGCAUCAUCUAGCACUGGCUUAACAAGGCAAAAGGAAAUCAUCGGCUACAACGAAAAUGCACACACAAAUUGAACGACAAGGAAGUCAGGCAAAUCUGCAACUCUGCAAUAAUCAAGCAAAUCUGCAACUCGAGAGUGUGUUUGUAGGCAGGUAGGCAAGCAAUAAUCGACAGCAAGAUGCCAUGUACACAUUUUGUCAUCUCUACAUACAUCUUCAUCAUCUUUAUUAUCAGGGUGCAACUUAACAAAUCAUCACCAUGCAUCACAUGUCUUCAAUUGUGAGAAUUUGAUCAAACCAUUGAUUGUAAUAAUCCCUGUGGUUGUGAUUGUCAUAAUACUUGAUACUCCUACGUACCCUAUUAAUAAACAUGAACAAACCAAUAAAAUCAAGCUACAUACACAUUUACAUCCAUCAUGCAUAUAUAUUACAUACACAGCACAGCACCAAAAAACAAGGUUCCAAUUUCAAACACAAAGGAUGGCAACAAGAAGAUGAUGGAUGUCAUGU
rnacentral:lncRNA from 1 species